rnacentral:lncRNA from 1 species
UUUUUUUUGAUAAAUAAAUAAUUAAAUUAAAGAAAAAGAGCUGCCAAAAGAAUGGCCCAAGGUGUACAAGAAAAUAAACCUCCCUUCGCCACCAAGGCUCAACCAAAAGAGUACAAAAAGAACCUCAACAAUCUCAACAAGUACCCAACCAUUCAAAAAAAACCUACUAAAGCUACAAACAACUUAGAUUCAGGCCACAAAAAACAAAUUCCCUUUUCAGCUUUUGAAUAGAAAAAACAUCAUUACAAAAAGCAAUGUUGUUCCUGGCCUUCUACACCAUCCAAAACAAACACAAAUGGCUUGCUUUUCCAAACCUUUUUUCUCUUUUUGCCUACAAAAGAACCAUGCCAAUCCAGCAAAGUAUCUUUAACUGAUGAAGAAAGCACCCAAGACACCCCAAAAAGUACAAAAAUCAGCCCCUAAACAAUUUAAUUGUUGGUUUUCUAAUAUCCUCAAAGACCCUGCAUUUCUUUUUUACCAAAUACCACAUAAGGCUUCCAAAAUAACCCUCCCCACAAAGCCCUCCUUCUGGGGCUUCUACCAAACCCCUGAAAAGAAAUGACCAUGUUUGGAGCCUGUAUUAGGUACUAAACUAUUCUCACAAAGGAUGCCCAAGAGUUUCUAAAUUAAUUAGUAGCUAAUUAUAGGAGUCCAAUCAUGUAGGUAAUAACAGUGCAAUUGGAUUAAGAUUGGGCAAGAGGCACCUAAGCAUAUUCUAACUGCAGAAAAUUCAAGCAGGGCAGGACCACAUGGAGUCAACCCUAAUACAUCUGUGAUCAUGUUCAUCUCAGGCUUGCCUGAGAACAACUUGGGCAAUAACCCAUUUAUUUUGGGCUUUGCAGGUCUUCGCCAGAUAUUGUCUACACUAUGUGCAACCUGCAUUCAGAAGCAUCUACAGUUUAAACUACCAGUAACCCAAAUAAUGUCUUUGUAACCAAAAAUAAAACAAAACAAAGAAUUUAAACUCAAUCUAAAACAUUACAGGAAAAAUUGAACAUAGAAACUAGAUCAAUUCUGACUUAUUACAUAUCCUACCUCAUUGCAUUACCUCAAGAACAAAAUACUCAGGAAAGUCAUGAAAGUCAUUUGGCCUGGCAAGGAAAGAACAGCAUAUAACUGAAUCUUGUAAAUACUACUUUACAAUAAACUCACAGAAUUCAAAUUAUUAGAAGCUGGGAAACUCACUUGGGGAGUCCAAUGUUUGCAUCGAAUCUCCGACUUUUAUAAAAUUUAACCAGAUGUAGUAAACCAGCCCAAUCAGUUUCCUGCCAAACAAUGCCAUCACGACCCACACAUCAAGAUCGAGGACUAGUACAAAUCCCAGAAGUAAACAACAGAUAAAGCAUUUUGAACCAAGCAACCAUACAAAGUAAACGAAACUGAAGAUGUUUUUGUAUUUAUUUUUUCCUCCUUUUUGGUGGAAGGUAGCAUGACAAUGCAUUAAUUAUCAUUUUGAAUUUCAUAAAAGAGAUGAACAAACAAAUAUUAUGGAUCAAAAUACGUACAGAUGUGUGUGUGUGUGUGUGAGAGAGAGAGAGAGAGAGCACCCUAACAUCUACAAAUUACUCUUCCAUGUUCCAGUCAAUGAGUUCAUUAGCGCAUAAGGAAAAUACUGUAAGUUCAAAAAGUAAAAUGUGUGAUCAACUUAAUGAAAAGGUGAGCGAUUAUAAUACCUCGGAUGCUGUAUUAGCCAAUGCAAAUGCUGCCUCAAUUCGGACUCUCCAAAAGGCCUUGAAAACAUAGAAGAAAUUUUAAAAUUGCAUUUCACUAAACACCAAUGCAUGGAAAGAAAUUGAACCUCUGAAAGUAUUAAAACCUUCGAAUCGCUGAGGAAAUUAUUCAGAGCAUUAACAACAGAAAAUGAAAGCUGAGGUAAUGCCUCCAGUGUUGCAAUUGCUUGUGCCUGAGCAACAACAUCCUUGUCCCUCUCUAAUUGAUUAAUCUGAUUAAGAAUUCCAAUUUUAUCAACAUCAUUAACAAAACUUUCAAAUUUGAUAGAAUGAAGUGAUUUAUAUAAAACAAUAGAUUCAACAGAAUCCAAUAUAAUGGCACAGUAUGAAUUAAAAAAACAUAUAAAAGGAAUUGGUGCAAAUCCUACAUUUUAGCAAGCAUCAUAUAUUAUUGCGAGUGCAACAAUCAAAUAUACCCUGAAUCCCUAAACAUUAUAAUACAUCAAUCCAUGUUAAAGGUACCUGAAGCAUCUAUGGUAUAUGCCAGAAUAUAGAAAUAGAACUGGUUAAUAUUAAUAAAAUAUAAAACUGGUUAAUAUUAAUAAAAUAUAAAAUAAAGAAUCCAAAGGACUUCCAUUUUUAACUGUCUAUUUUUGCCAUGCUUCAUUUAUAAAUAUAAUAAAACACAUCUCAAAGUUUCAGAGCUUUAAGAAACCUUUUAUCUCUUUUGUAUUAUUUGCUCAAGUUUGAAAAAAGAAUACACCUAUUUAAAUUUUAAAAUUCGAAUGAGACAAGUAGUUAAUGAAAUCUGCUAUAGUCAAUCUAAUUUUAAUCAGUAGAGGCUGGGCCAAGGCUCAUCCAAUGGCAGAACACAAAAGUAGUUAAUGAACUCUGCUAUAGGUAAUCUAAUUUUAACCUGUAAAGGCUGGGCCAAGGCUCAUCCAAUGGCCGAACACAAAAGUAGUUAAUGAAAUCUGCUAUAGGUAAUCUAAUUUUAAUCUGUACAGGGUGGGUCAAGGCUCAUCCAAUGGCAGAACACAACUUACCUCAGACAGCUAGGAGAUGAAAGAUGACUACCAGUAGAACAAGCAGGUUUUUGUUCUAACAUCCUCUGAGACAAAAAUCUUUCCUAACAAACACAUUCUCAAUUUUGUGUAUGAUAUUACAUAUUUUAUUUAUAUUGAUUGAAUAGAUGAUUGAACAGAACCCAUAUCUUUUUCUACUUUUUUCAUUAUUUAUUUCUGAAUCCACACUUUCUUAUCUAUGUACAUUAUCUCUAUGGGCCAAUCAACUUAAUCCAACUCAAUUUUUUUUUUCCCUCUUUUUUAUUUAUAUUUUUAUAAUUCAUUAAUGAACUAAUUGAAUUUUUUUAUUUUCUGCCAUAGUAUUUUUUUAAUCAAAAUUCACAUUCAUAUUGACAGCAAAUACAUUUUUUAUAGGUAAAGAUCAUUACAUAAAAGAAAUGCCAAAGAAGGCAGCCCAACCCCAAGUACACCAGAAGUAUAAUUUCAUUGUAGAUAAAAGGAUCUAUUUAUCUUUGUUGCAUAGGUUUGCAUUUUUUACUUCACCUUCAGAUGAUGGUUUUCUUGCAAUUGGAUUUACUAUGCUACAGGCAGUUUCUUUCAUAAGUUCUCAACCCCUUGGUUUCACCAUAAUAGAAUAUGUAAGUGGAGAACAGAAAUUCUUGAUGAAGUUACCAAUAGUAGUGAAUGCAGGGUCAAAAAAAUAUUCAGUGUAGUCCAUACUAUUGAAGUGGAGAGGGAUCAUUAGCAUAUAAACUUUGGUAGGUAUGACAUUUUAGCCCUUGAGGCUUGCCUCUGGCAAGGGGUUGGGAUGGGAUGAGUUAGGUUCUCAACUGCAGUUGGAAAAAUGUACCAUUAAACAUUGCAACCUGCUGCAUAAAGUUAGAACUAAACAAACGUUGUCCAAAUUAUGACUUUUAAGUGCUAGUGCUAUCUGUUAAAAUAGCAAAACCUGACAAUAUCAUCACAAAAAUAAAUACAAAGGAGUAAUAUAUAACACAGAAAAAAAUUAUAAUGAAAUUGAAAAAUGAAUAACAUGCAUUUCCAUGAAACCACAAUAGUUCCCAACUAAAUUCAUUCUUACCCACAUCUGUGCAGGUUGAUUAAAAUGAAUUUCAGCAAGAUACUCCAGUUCAGGGUCUACCCUAAGCCAUAACAAAGGGGAUUCGGUGCUGCAAAAGGAACAUAUUAACACUCAGAAAAAUUGACCGUGUUAUCUUUCAACUAGAAAAUGUGACAAAAGCCCAAAGAGGUAAUGACAUACUUGGAGCGCAUAUCCACAGCAGGUACAUCACCAUUAUCAUCGGAGCCAUCAGGUUUUGACCCCUUUUUAGGCUUCUGGAAGCGUCUAGCAGCAAGUUUUGAAUGGCACUGAAUUUCAAGAAGUUGCCAAGUUUCUCCAGCCAUUGGCAAAAUUGGAUGGUCAUACAUACCAUCAAGCUCAUGAACCCUGAUGCUCAUCAUUCCUGGCCAUCCAAUAUCAACUUCUCGAUUUUCAGAAUCAAUAUUGCCAUUAAGAACCAUUGUAUUUGUAUCUGGUGCGGCAGUGCAUCCCCGUAAUACCGCCAGUUCAACCAAAUUUUUUCGCUUGUUAUAGGAUAAACCCGCCCUUAAAAAUUUAAGGCCCAAAAAGGACAACAUUUGAAUAGACUAUAUCAGCAAAUAUUCCCCCAUGAAGAAAAAGAAAAGACAAUUUCUAGGUCACAUAAAUCAGACCUUAGUACAGGACACCCACAAGAUCCUACCCAGCGAGGAAAAAAUUCUUUAAGAAAUGGGCGCUCAAGAUUUCCAACCUUAUUGGCAAAAUGUCGGAACUGCACAUUUAUAGGAUUAAUUAAGGUAAAUAAGUAAAUAAAAUAAACAUAUUCUUCUAACACAAUAAUAAAAUCAUGAUGUAUUCAAAUUACACCAAAAAAGGAAUCCUAGUGAUCAUGGAAUUCAUAACAAUGAUAUAUUAACAUGAACACAGAUAAUACUAUACCAAAUGAAAUUGUUAGAGCACAAUACAUUAUGAGCCCAAAUCCUAACAACUUAAGCCCUUACGUAAAUUGGUUCUCUAAUAUGGUGUCAAAACUCUUAUUAACUAGAGGUUCUGAAUUCAAGUCCUCCCUUUGUUAUUUAUCUGUCUAACUAUGUGUGAUUACAAAAGGAAAAUAUGAUUUUUCUCAAGCCAAUACCAUCUAUAACUCCCACAACGAGUAUAAGGCUGCACAUGAGGGGGUUGUAAGAACAUAAUAUAUUUCGUGGACCCAAAUCCGAACAGUUUUAAGCUCUUAGGUAAAUUGGUUGUACAACAGAAAUCAUGACUGCCAGGGGUUGGGAUAAGAGCUAGGAAUAUGAGUAAAUGAAGAACAAAGGAGGCUGGACAAUAGCACAGGGUAGGUUCCACAAAUAUAAGCACCUAACAACAAAAAGGGGCACAACCCAUAGACACAUGAUAUAUGCAAGAAUGCAGAGUUUUCUAAUUUGUUUGUUAUAGCCCAUAUAUUAGGAUGCAGCUAACAACGAUUAAAUGAAAUGGACCAAAAGACAGAAUUUUCAACCCUCUUCAUGAUAGUAAACAAAAAGAAAUGACAGGAAGCAGCAAUAAGUACUUGCAUUUCUUUUCUCUCUCUUUUUUAUUUAGGUGCCUUUUUUCUUUUCUUUAUUUUUCCGCUUGUUUGAUGGAAAAAUAAGACUUUACAGAAGGAAAGCUCGAAAAGACGGUUCCUCAAAAUGCAGAAGAAAACAGAAAAGAGAUGUACUUAAAAAUAAGAAAAAUUAAAAAAUUAAAACACACAUACACACAUGCACCUAUUUCCUAAAAAAUGAGCCCAGGAAAAUAAAACAUAAACAAAAGAGGAGGGAAGGAGUUUGUAACAUACUUCUCUAGGGUUAGUGCUUCUCUCUUAGAAAAAGCAUUGGCUUCUGAUGUUGCAACUCCUGGACUACAAUGCACUGAACGCUUUUCACCUUCCAUUAGAAAGCAUCCAUAGAGGUGGAAAGCUGGAAGGAAGCUUCAAAAGUUCCCUGCUGAACCUUAGAGUGCUAUGAUUGGGGUUUGUCCCUAUUAAAGGUGUUGCCACAGAUAAUCAAAGGAGAAAUCCUUUGAAGAGAGCCCAGUUAACCACUCUAAUCAUUGGCGUUCCACAUCCUCACAGGACUAUGACAAAGAACCGGAAAAUCGAGUGUGGAAUUAGAUCUUGGGUAGGGAUACUUCCUAUCCAAGGCCAGGUCUUUCAUUGCCCUCGUACCAUUCUGUGGGUAAUUCUUGAACAGUAUACUAGUAUUCUUAUUCUCUUGACUUGAUAAGCGAAUAAUCAAAUGAAAGAUUCUAGAUCAGGCAGACUGGCCCUGGAAAGAAAGCCUUCACAUUCCAUCAACAAAGAAGAAUAUAGUUCCAAGGUCAACAAAGCAUAGCAUAGAGGCCAACCUUUAUUGAAGCAUAGGUAAUAGAACUUCCUCUCCACCUGAAGAAAUAUCUAAAUCACAUCAUAUUAAGUCGACUGACUCUUGAUUGAUUAACUAUUUAGUAGCUUCGCCUGUGUACCUUCCAUAUCUAACUAAGCCCAAGGAAGGUGGCAUCACUAAUGAUCCCUCAAUACUCCAACCACAGAUAGUUGUAGUUGUCAGACGGAGAAACUUUCAAAUCUAAGUUGCUUAUAUAGAGAACAAUAUGGUAAGGACGUUGAAGGUCUUUGUGGAGAGGAAGACCUUCUUGGUUAGGUUGGAAGGCGAGCAUGGUGGAAAUUGGUGCUUGAUUACAGAGCACAGUAGAGGCUCUGUUUUUGUCUUAGGUUUUGAAAAGGAUGCAGUCGGGUGGAUGAUCGAACAUUUGACGAAAGCCAUAGAAAUGAAGAGUCACUUCGGGUUCAACCGAAAGUUCAGGAGAAAAUUUUGUGUGAAUUUGAUGGAAGUUGGCUUCAACAACCACGAAAGGUUCAUAAGGAUCUCGGAGUUCGCUACCAACAGAAAAUCUACUUUUCUAGUUAUUCCUAAGGACGAGAAGGGCGGAUGGGAGAAUCUAAAAAGUGCGUUGUCUUCAAUGUUGGUGGUCCCCCCUUCAAAUGCAAUUGAAAAAGGAAGACAAUACAGAGGAAAAAGGUUUAUCCACAAUCACGUGGGUCCUCUGUACCGGUCCUUCGCGAAUGUAGUUAGCGAUGAAGGACCAAGGAGAGGUGGUCUCGUUCCUGUCGGGAGGUGGGCGCGAGCCGUGGUGUGUGAAUGCAAUGCUGAUAGCGUUAAAUGGGUUGAGGUUGGCCGAGCGGUGGCGAGAAGCUUAGGGAAGAAAGGAAUGGCAACGAUUGUACCCAUCUCAGGAGGAAAAAAAGUAUUUUUUGUUGAAACAAUAGAAAAAGUUCUCUUUCUCCAGGAUUUAAGGAUUCUUAGGGUUGAAGGAAGGAUUACAGUCCAAUUGAGAAGGUGGUCACCAAAGGAAAAUUCGAAAAUAGAGGGGAAGUUCAGAGGAGGCUAGAUCGAAUUACGAGAGUUGCCAUUUCAUCUAUGGUCUAAGGUUCACCUGAAGAAAAUUGUGGAGCAGUGGGGGAUGGUGACUAAAAUUGAUUGGCAAACGUUGAAACUAUUCGAUCUUAGUAAGGCAAGGGUAAGAAUUGCAAUGAAGGAUAGGUCAGUCCUUCUAGCUUUGAUCGAGGUGAUAGACGGGAAUUGGGUGUUUACAAUUUCUGUCGUAGUGCUCGGAGAUGAAGACGUUAAGAGAGGUAGAGUAAUGGGUGAGUCAACUCGGGAGGUUUGUGCAUCUCACUUGGGGACAGGUGGAGGAAGGCGGGGGGAGAGAGUCAGAUCAAUGACUGGGGGAAGAUGCCAUGUUGGGGAAGAUGGCAGAAUGAAGAAGGGAGGAGAAAGGGGUAUGGUUGUUGUUUUUCCAGUGGGGACACGUGGUAAGAGUGGUCAAGAUGAGGGGAACAGUUGGCUCCUAACCCCAUCGUUGCCCAGUUUGAAUUAAAAAAAAAAUGAACAAUGGGCCAAUUGGGUUUAAGGAGACGGGAGGAGUUAGGGUCAGUGGGGACGAGGUCUCCUCUGAUGAGGGAUGUCGGGCCACUGAGAGGAAGGCCCAGUCUUUGUCUAAGCCUAGUCCACUAAUUGUAAAAGUGGGCUGCAACAUAAAAGGCCCGUCGGGGUUGGGCCAAAGCAUAGGAGGUAAGAAGAUAGAUGACAAGAAGGUUUCGUUACGAAGGGAAGAAGAUUCUUCUGCAGUGGGAAAGGGGAAAGCUACAUCUAUAGUUCCUAAGGUUCAGUCGAAUAGCUCCAUGAAGAAGGAAGUGAAGUUUGGUUCAAAGAAGCUGUGGCCUACCCUUUUUCCUCUAAGUUCUGAUCGCUAACAAGGUCUUCGGUGUCGCAGUGAGCCUCUAUUGUACCGGAAGAAUUCGGCAAACAACAAAGAGUUUCCAAAAGAAGAGGCUUUCGGGGACGAAUCUCAGGCGGAACGAGGAUUUAGUGCAAGUCCUCUCACUUCUCGUCGAUCACCAAGGUUUCAUAAGAGAUGUUUGGGGGAAGGGGCUUCGUCGUCAAGAGGCGAAGUGGCUUUGUGCAAACUUUCCUUUGAUGAAGACAGAGAAGGAUUUUUGGGCUGAUGGGGUCCGACCUUUGUGGCUCAACAGUCACAGUUUUGCCCUUUACACUAGAAAUCAGAGGUAAAGGGCUUAGCUUUAUGGGGAAUUGUGGAUUGUUGGUAGCAGAAAACUUGGGAGGUAAACUCGUCUUCACCUACUCAGCCACCUUUGUCUUCUCUACCCCCUUCUUGUGGUUUGGCUUCUUCUUUUCUGUGUUCUUUUGUUCCCAAUCUUCCCAGUUCAGCCUUCCAAUCUCAGUUUCCUAUGGAAAAUCGAGUAAACUUUGAAUUUUUUUCCAAAAAAGACGACGUUGGUACUGUAGGUCAAAUUUUGUUGGCAUCCCUAAACUUGUUGUGGAGGAGAUUCAACCUGCUUAUCUAUACCAGAUGAUCGAGAGUUUUAACCCAAUUAUGUCUAAACCCAUUUUGCCUAAUAAGGUCUUCAACCUGGUUACAGUUAGCCAAGGUGUGACUACGGGCUCCCCAUCAGAUGAGUUCCAAAUAGAAGGCCUGUCCCCUGAGAAAAUCGCUAAAGUGCGUGAGGUCUUAAGUUCUCUGGAUAUUAAAGUAUAUUUCAGGAGGAAGAGUAGAUGCUCCACAAGUAUGUGAGACCUAUUGGAACUGGAUUGGAGGAUUAGGGUCUGUGUGGUUUUUCCAUGAAGAUAAUUAGUAGGAAUACCAAGGGUUUGGGUUCAAGGAAAAAGCGAAGGGUGGGUUAAGAUUUUCUGAGAUCAAAAAAUCUGGAUGUUGUGAUGAUUUAGGAAACAAAAAAGGCGGAGUGUGACAGAAGGUUUGUAGGUAGUGUUUGGACAGUCAGAAAUAAGGAAUGGGCAGCUCUUCCGGCAUGCGGGGCUUCGGGAGGGAUUUUGAUUAUUUGGGACUCCAAAAAACUACGCAGUGAGGAAGUGGUAAUAGGAUCCUUUUCGAUCUCAGUCAAGUUUGCUUUGGAUGGAUGCGGACCGUUAUGAUUGUCCGUAGUUUAUGGCCCAAACAGCCUAGUACUUGGGAAGGAUUUUUGGGUGGAGCUUUCAGACAUUUUUGGACUUUCUUUCCCAUGUUGGUGUGUGGGCGGCGAUUUUAAUGUCAUAAGGAGAAGUUCAGAAAAAUUAGGAAGUUCUAGUUUAACCCCAAGCAUGAGGGACUUUGAUGAUUUUAUAAGAGAAUAUGAAUGACUAGAUCCACCUUUACGGAGCACACCAUUCACUUGGUCAAACAUGCAAGAGUCUCCCGUGUGCAAGAGAUUGGAUCGAUUUCUUUACUCAAAUGAGUGGGAACAAUUAUUUCCUCAAAACCUUCAAGAAGUUCUUCCUAGAUGGACAUCGGAUCAUUGGUCGAUAGUCUUGGAAACCAAUCUAUUCAAGUGGGGCCCAACACCUUUUAAGUUUGAGAAUAUAUGGUUGCAACAUCCUAAUUUUAAGGAGAGCUUUAGAAGUUGAUGGAGAGAUUUUCAAGGAAAUGGGUGGGAAUGUCACAAGUUCAUGAGGAAAUUACAAUUUAUUAAGGCCAAAUUGAAAUAGUGGAAUAAGGCUUCUUUUGGAGAGCUAAACGAAAGGAAAAAAAGUAUCCUGUUCGAAUUAGCUAACUUUGAUUCCAUUGAGCAAGAAGGGGGUCUCACCUCUGAACUUUUAAUUUAGAGAGCUUUAAGAAAAUGAGAGUUAGAGGAAUUGAUUUUGAGGGAAGAAAUUCAUUGGAGACAAAAAGUUAGGGUGAAAUGGGUUAAGGAAAGGGAUUGUAACUCAAAAGUUUUUUCAUAAAGUGGCUAAUGGCGGGCGAAAUAAGAAAAAAAAAAGGUGUUGGAGAAUGAAAGAGGCCUAGUAUUGAAUAAUUCAGAGAGCAUCAAAGAGAAGAUUUUAAUGUAUUUUGAAAAGCUCUACUCGAGCCCUUCUAGAGAGUCUUGGAGAGUUGAAGGCUUAGAUUGGUCCCCUAUAUUUGGAGAAAGUGCGUCUAGGUUGGACUCCCCUUUUACUGAAGAAGAUAUUUUUAAGGCCAGUUGAAUAGGGAUAAGGCAUCGGGGCCUGAUGGUUUUACAAUUGCAGUGUUUCAAGAUUGUUGGGAUGUGAUCAAGGAGGAUCUAGUGAGAAUGUUUGCAAAGUUUCAUAGAAGCGGGAUUAUCAAUCAAAGCACUAAUGCCUCCUUCAUAGUUCUGUUACCCAAAAAAAGCAUGUAAAAAAAAAUCUCAGACUUUAGACCUAUUAGCUUGAUCACUAGUCUUUACAAGAUAAUAGUCAAAGUGUUAUCAGGGCGUCUAAGAGGGGUAUUACACGGAACUAUCCAUUCUACUCAAGGCGCUUUUGUUCAAAGGAGACAAAUUUUGGAUGCAGUUGUCAUAGCCAAUGAGAUAGUGGAUGAGAAAAGACAAUCAGGAGAGGAAGGAGUUGUCUUCAAAAUUGACUUUGAAAAGGCUUACAACCAUGUGAGUUAGGAUUUUUUGGAUCAUGUGUUGGAGAAGAAGGGGUUCAGUCCUAGAUUGAGGAAAUGGAUAAGAGGUUGUUUGUCCACGGUAUCUUUUGCAGUCUUAGUGAAUGGAAACGCUAAAGGGUGGGUCAAGGCAUCUAGAGGUUUAAGACAAUGAGACCCUUUAUCCCCUUUUUUGUUCACUUUAGUCGCAGAUGUACUGAGCAGGAUGUUAUUGAGAGCAGAAGAAAGAAAUGGCUUGGAGGGUUUCAGGGUGGGUAGGAACAGAACAAGGGUGUCCCAUUUGCAAUUUGCAGAUGAUACCAUUUUCUUUUCUAGCACUCGAGAGAAGGAUCUGCAGACCCUCAAGAGUGUAUUGCUAGUGUUUGGGCAUAUUUCUGGGUUGAAGGUUAACCUUGACAAAAGCAAUAUUUAUGGCAUUAAUCAUGAACAGAAUCAUCUUUCUAGGUUGGCCUAGCCGCUAGAUUGCAAGGCUUCUGUUUGGCCUAUACUCUACCUGGGUCUUCCUCUAGGAAGGAAUCCCAAGGCUUGUGGCUUUUGGGAUCCAGUGUUUGAGAGGAUCUCGAGAAGAUUAGAUGGGUGGCAAAAGGCGUAUUUAUCUUUUGGAGGCAGGAUAACUCUCAUUCAAUCUUGCCUUACCCAUAUGCCUUGCUACUUCCUCUCCUUGUUUAAGAUUCCCGCCUCAGUGGCAGCAAAAAUUGAGAGAUUACAAAGAGAUUUUUUAUGGUCGAGGGUUGGGGAAGGCAAAAAAGAUCAUCUUGUUAGUUGGGAUGUAGUGUGUAAUCUGAAGGCAAAAGAGGGAUUGGGAUUUAGGAAGAUUUCUAUAAGGAAUUUAGCUCUAUUAGGUAAAUGGUUGUGGAGGUACCCUAGAGAGGGGUUAGCUCUGUGGCAUCAGGUUAUUUUAAACAUUUAUGGAUCACACUCCAAUGGUUGAGAUGGCAACACUAUAGUCAGAUGGUCACAUCGUUGUCCUUGGAAGGCUAUUGCACAAGUCUCCCAGGAGUUUUACAAGUUUACUCGGUUUGUGGUAGGAGAUGGGAAAGAAUUCGGUUCUGGGAAGACUAGUGGUGGAGGGACCAGCCUUUGGGAGUCCAAUAUCCAAGACUAUUUAGAGUAGUCACGGAUAAGUAUAUUCCUAUUUCUUCAAUUCUCGGCUCUACUUGUCCCUUCUCUUGGAAAUUUAACUUUCGUCGUAACCUUUCCGAUUCUGAGAUAGGAGAUUUAGUUAGAAGGUCUCAUGCGGUCUCUUGAUCGUCUGCAUUUAUCUCCUUCGGUUUCAGAUAUGAGAUCCUGGUCCUUAUCUUCUUCAGGACUUUUUACAGUCAAAUCUUUCUUUCUUGCCUUAUCCCAAUUUUCUGGUUUUCCUUCAGUUUUCUCUUCUAAGUUUGUUUGGAAUUCUCAAGCCCUUUUCAAAGUCAAGUCUUUUGUCUGGUUAGUGGCACACAAGAAGGUAAAUACUAAUGACUUGCUACAGUCGAGAAGACCCUACAAAGCGUUUAGUCCUGAUAUUUGUAAGUUGUGCAUGAAGCAUGGAGAAUCAGUAGAUCAUCUUUUUCUACAUUGCUCUUUGACGAUGGGGUUAUGGCACAGAUUAUUUCAGUUAGCCAAGACGGAUUGGGUCCCCCUGAGGAGCAUCUCCGACAUGUUGUCCACCAAUUUUAACGGUUUUGGUUUUUCUAAGAGAGGGAUUGUUUUAUGGCAAGCUGUGUACAUCGCUCUAAUUUGGGUUGUGUGGCGGGAAAGAAAUGCAAGGAUUUUUUAGGAUAAAGUAAGGAAUUCAGAGAAUCUUUGGGAUUCUAUUCAUUUCCUUGCUUCUCUUUGGGCUUUUUGUUCCAAGGUUUUUAAGGGGACUCCCCUUAACGUGUUACAACUUGAUUGGUUAGCGGUGUGUAAUUCCAUUGGGUUGGUCUAACCUAGAGAGUUUGCUUGUUUUUACUUUGUAUUUUCUUGUAUUUGCUUCCUUGUAGUUUUGUUUUUCUUUGGUGGGAGGAUUCCUCAUCCUUCUCUUGUACUUCUUUUAAUAAAUAUAUCCCUUUGUCGUUUCCUAUCAAAAAAAAAAAAAAAAGUCUAAGUUGCUUAUGAUAGGUGGCAAGGCUUCUAAUUCUGGGAAGAAGAAGACUAAGCAGGGGACACUCUAGCCAAAAAAGAUAGGGAUAAAAGGAGACUCCUCAAAAUUCCAAGUCAAUUCCAAGUAGAAAUAUAGAGCAAAUCCACUCUAUAAUAGAGCAAAUGAAUUCAUUUUUUUCCUAAACAUAUUCUACAAUUUCUCUCAUUCCAUAGAAACCAAAUAAUUGUAGACACAGUCCUUUUCAUAACCUCUAGAAACUCCAAGACCUGGGCAAAAUCUAAGGAAGGGUGGAUCUUUUGAAUCUACCCAACUAAUUCCAGAAAACAUCAAAUAUCAAAAUGUAAACCCAAAUGAUGGUGGCUGGCACUUUUAAGAAUUGAGCUAAACAAUAAUGAGAGGAAAGAGUAUCAGCAGCCCCCUAAUCUAGUAUAUCAUAAUGUUUGAAGAAGUGUCUAUAAACUCCUUAGCAACAGAUGGCCAAAAGCAACAAGUGACAAGCCCUUUAACAGUUUCAUCAUUUUGCACAUAACGCACAUGCUUGAAGAAAUGCUUUAGGCCUCUUCCAGAGACAACCAAAAGUGUUCAUGCUCAUCAAUGCAAAAAUCUAAGCUAAGCUUCAAUCUCUGUGGAAGAUAUGGAUUCCAAAAUUAACUUGUGAGGGCAAGUAGGAAUAUAAAGAAACAACCACACAAGAAUGGAAGGAAUCUUCUGUUGGGAAAAAAAAAAGGCUUGGAAGGCUGCUCUGCUAUGCAUGUUUUGGACCAUAUGAAGGGAAAGAAAUAGGAGAGGAUUCGACAAUUGUGAAAAUUUGAACCAAACAAUUAGAAGUUCUUUCUUGAAUCUUUUUUGGGAGUGGGUAAGAUUGUAUAUAGGAGCGGCUCUUUAUCAUUGUUAAGAGUUUGUGGACUGGAUGGGCUCUUUGUAGGGCACAGUUUUUGGUUUUUGUGCUCCCGCAGUUUUUUUGGUUUUUAGGUUGCUUUGUAUACAUCAUGUAUACUUCUUUUUUCUCCAAUACACUUACUCUUACUUAUCAAAAAGGAAUAUCCAUAAGAAUAUCAAGCAGUAACUUAUGUUUGUUUCUAAUAAAAUAAUGUAAAGCAGUAAACCCAUAAUCCAAAAUCCUCUCUUGUCCAGAAUGAAAAGGAGAGGUAAAUGUCCUGAGAGGAAAAAUAUGACCUAUUAAACUACCAUUACAUCAAGAUUCAUAGGAGAAUGGAAGUAAAGAAUGGAAAUGGUAGGCCCACACACCAUAACUAGGAGACCUAGUUUGUAACUCAAGACCUGAAGGGACAUAAUUUGAGAUAUGCAACCUGAUUGCACUAUUUCCCACAUAUCUGAUCACUCUCUGAUUCUUCUUGAUGGGGGAGGGUUGAGGAGAAGGCCCACGCCAUUUAGAUUUGAGAAUAUAUGGCUGAAGGAGGAAGGCUUUAAAGAGGUGUUGAGAAAGUGGUGGGAAGGGAUUCAACUUAGUGGGUCAGCCAGCUUCAUUUUGACUGAAAAAUUGAAGGCAUUAAAACCAAUUCUGAGAAGUUGGAAUAAAGAGGUUUUUGGUCAAAUUGAUUCUAAGAAGCAAAGUGCUUGGAAUUUAAUGGAUUUCUGAGAUAAGGAAGAGAGUGUUCGCUCUUUGUCUUUGGAAAAAGAAGAAGCUAGGAAGGAGGUAAGAGAGAUAUAUAAAAAGUGGGUUCUUUUAGAAGAAGUGUCAUGGAGGCAGAAGUCUAGGUAAAUUUUGCUGAAAGAAGGGGAUAGAAACACAAGGUUUUUUCAUCAAAUGGCUAAUGUUCAUAGAAGAAGGAAUCAGAUGACUAGAGUAAAAGGGAAUGGGAGGUAGUUCACCGAGGAAAGUGAAAUCAAAGAGGAGGUGAGUAGAGCUUUCCAAGGUCUGUUGGCAGAUCCAGGUGAUUGGAAGCCCAGUAUAGAUGGUUUGAAUUUUGAGAGGCUGGAAGACUUGGAUGUGGAGGGGCUGGAGAAGCCUUUCUCGGAAGAGGAGGUUUAUGAUCUGCUGUCAAGUUUUUAUAGAGAAAAAGUGUCAGGCCCUGACGGUUUCUCAAUGGCAUUUUGGCAGUUUUCUUGGGAUUUUGUAAAAGAGGAGGUACUAAACUUCUUCAGAUAGUUCCAUGAGACAAGGAGUUUUGUCAGAAGUCUGAAUGCAACCUUUCUAGUGUUGAUUCCUAAGAAAGGGGGGGCUAAGGACUUGAAGGAUUUUAGGUCAAUUAGCUUGGUGAGAGGGUUGUACAAGUGGUUAGCUAAGGUGCUGGCUAACAGAAUGAAGGGAGUAUUAGCUAAGGUGAUCUCAACGUCUCAAAAUGCUUUUGUGGAGGGGCAGCAAAUUAUGGAUGCAGUGUUGAUUGCUAAUGAAGCAAUAGAAGGGCGAUUCUCUGCAAAUUAGACAUUGAGAAAGCCUAUGACACGUUGACUGGUCAUUUCUUUUAGCGGUGUUGGAGAAGAUGGAGUUUGAGAAAAGGUGGUGUAGAUGGAUAAAGUUGUGUUUAUCCACUGUUGGUUUUCAGUUAUGGUGAAUGGAAGCCCUACUGGAUUUUUCCAGAGCUCAAGGGGUUUAAGACAAGGAGACCCCCCUUUCACCUUACUUAUUCGUAGUUGUGAUGGAGGCUUUUAGUUAUAUGCUAAAGAGAGUAGUUUUAGGAGGUUUUUUGUCUCCUUGUUCGAUUUGGGGAAGAAGGGGUGAAGGGGUUUAGGUCUCUCAUUUGUUGUUUGCUAAUGACACGUUGAUUUUUUGUGAGGCAAAGGAGGAGUAGUUAGCGUAUUUGUGCUGGUUGUUAAUGUGGUUUGAGGCAAUCUCAAGGUUAAAAGCGAAUAUGGAAAAAAAUGAACUGAUUCCGGUUGGUAAAGUUGAGAAUGUGGAAGAGUUGGCUAAUGAGUUCGGUUAUAAGGUGGGAAAAUUGCCCUCCACCUAUUUAGGAAUGUCGUUGGGUGCUACUUUUAAAUCCGUUGCCGCUUGGGAUAGAAUAGAAAAAAGGUUCCGAAAGAGAUUGGCUAUGUGGAAACGUCAAUCCAUCUCAAAAGGGGGGAGGGUUACCUUAAUUCGAAGUACCUUGUCCAAUUUGCCGAUCUAUUUUAUGUCUAUUUUCCAGCUGCCUAGGGUGGUUAGAAUGAGAUUGAAGCAGAUUCAAAGGGAUUUUCUAUGGGGUGGUGGGGCUCUUAAGCAAAAACCGCACUUAGUAAGGUGGCCGAUUGUGUGUGUAAACAAAAGAAAAGGAGGGUUGGGGGUCAAGAGUCUUGGGACUUUCAAUAAGGCUCUCCUUGGCAAGUGGGCUUGGCACUUUGCAAAUGAAAGAAAGGCCCUUUGGAAUCAAGUGAUUAGAAGGAAAUACGAGGAGGAAAGAGGAGUGUGGAGAUCUUGUGAGGCUAGAGAGGCCUAUGGAGUUGGGUUGUGGAAAGCAAUAAGUAAGAUGGGACAAACUAGUAACCCCUUCUUUUGGCUUUGUGGUGGGUGAUGGUAAGAAGGUGAGGUUUUGGAAAGACAAGUGGUGUGGAACCACCCCUUUGUGCGAGGUUUUCCCUUCAUUAUUUGCUCUAGCAACUUCCAAAGAGGCGUGGGUAAAUGAAGUUUGGACAGCCGAGGGGGAAAGGGGGGGAAGUCGGACUCCUCAUUUCAAUAGACCUUUCAAUGAUUGGGAGUUGGAAGAAGUGGAAAGGUUGCUUUGUUGCUUGGAUGGGAAGAAGGUCAGGGUGGAUGAGGAGGAUAGGGUGAGGUGGAUGGACUCAAAGGAUGGGGUUUUUUCGGUAAAAUCUUUGUAUAGGGCUUUGCAGCCGGUGUCUCUUACUUUUUUCCCUUUGAAGAUUAUUUGGAACUCUUGUGUGCAGCCCAAAUUAAGCUUCUUUGCGUGGGAGGCUUCGUGGGAAAGAGUUCUAACCUUGGACCGUUUGCAAAAGAGGGGUUGUGCAUUGGCAAAUAGAUGCUUUCUGUGUCAAACAAGUGAGGAGUCGAUCGACCACCUCCUCCUUCAUUGUGAAAAGACAAGGGAAGUGUGGAUGUUGUUCCUUUCUUUUUUUGGAGUAUCUUGGGUUUUCCCUUUUUCGGUAAAGGAAACCCUUUUAGGAUGGAGGGGCUCUUUUGUGGGUAAGAAGAGGAAGGUGGCGUGGCAAGUGAGACCGUUAUGCUUGGUUUGGGUCAUUUGGAACUAGGAAUACAAUUGCUUUUGAGGAUUGUGUGCUGUCCAUUCAAAGGCAGAAGCUUCUUUUGUGUAUUUACUUUGGUCGGAAACCAAAUUGUGAAUAAAAGAUAGUCCUUCAACCUUAAUAGAUUUUAUAGAUUGGGUGUGUUUGCAAUGAGGGAGAAGGUUUUUUGUUUUUUCCUUGUUGUUUGGGUCCUUUUGUAAGGGGGUGAGUUUUUCUAUACUGUAUUUCUGUGGGUCGCUAUUUUAGCGCCUCUUUGCAAUACAUUUUUCUGCUUAUUGAUCAAAAAAAAAUUUCCCACUGCAAACCAUCCCAAGCACACACACAGAGAGCAUCUUAUAUGUGAGAAGAAAGAAGGAAUUGACUAAUCAUAUGUUGUCACUUCUCAGGACAUUCCAAAACAUCAUGAAGCAGUUAUACUGCCAGCUUAUUCUAAGUCAGUGGGGCUUGGUAAUGUGAUCUUGCUCUUAGAGAAGGUAAUUUCCUGGAAUUAGAAUAGAUCAAACAAGUGGACCCGAACCUUGAGGUACUAACUACACCUGGCACAACCAGUACUAAGUAAUCCAGGGCAUUCAACCAGUGGCAGAAAUCAAACCCAAGCAAAGGUAAUUCUCAUUCUUAAGGAAUGGGGAAAAAGAAGGGGGGGGGGGGGGGGGCGGGGUGGUAAAAAAAAAAAAGGAAAAAAAAAAAACCCUUUUUCACCCCCUUAUUUAUUUUUUUACAAAAAAAUCUGAAUUUUUUAAAAAAAAAAUUUGAAGGGUUAAUUCAAAAAUUUGCUUAAACCCCCAAAAAAUUUCGGGGAACAAAAAACUAAACUAAAAAUGAAGGGCAACAAAACCCCCAAGGCCGGAAAAAAACCAAAUUUUAAAAAAUAAACCUCAUAUCUUUUUUUACCUUUAAUUAGGAACAAAAAUUCCAUAUUCUUUCAAAGGGAUGCUUUUCCGGAAAAAAAAUUUUUUUUCCCAAGCAAAAAUGCCCCCAAACCAAAAANNNNNNNNNNNNNNNNNNNNNNNNNNNNNNNNNNNNNNNNNNNNNNNNNNNNNNNNNNNNNNNNNNNNNNNNNNNNNNNNNNNNNNNNNNNNNNNNNNNNUGGCAACUAAAUACUAAACUAGAAAUGAAGGUCAACAUAACCCCCAAUGCUGAUAAUAACCAAAUAUUAGAAUAUAAACAUCAUAUCAUUUUUUACCUUUAAUUAGGAACAGAAAUUCCAUAUUCAUUCAGAGGGAUGCAUUUCCUGAGAUAAGAUUUUUGUUCCCAAGCAUAAAUGCCAGCAAACCAAAUAUGCUCUUGGGAACAUAUUCUCUGAACCUAAACAUACCAAAGAGCUAUCCGUACACUAAAAUGGUUGUUGAAAGGUCGUUCAGUUAUUUUAUUCAUCACAAAAUACCCACAUGGUACAUACAAUUAAAUAUGAAAAGCAACUUCAGAAUAUAUCAAUGUAGCAGACAAUUUAAAAUGAGAAUAAAACUAAUCGAUGAUAAAGAAAAUAAGACAAUUUUUAUUAAAAAAAGUUGAAAUGACAAAACACACACACACAAAUAACAUCAUACUACAGUAAAGAGUAAUCACCUCCUUCGUACUAAGAGUUCUCAAAGAACGAGUUGUAUCUUGAGCCCGAAAAACUAUAGUCUGCAAAAUCUGUUCAUCGAACAUGAUAAAACCAUAACAAAUGCAAAUCAGUAUUCCACAGGAUGAACAAGUACAAAUUAAGGAAACACAACCUGCGAUUUGAUGUCUGUGGCAUACUUCACAACAAAGAGCUCUCAACAAAAAUUUUUAAUAAAAAAAUUCAAAGAAUGGAAAAAGGGAAUAGAAAAACCUGAAGAACAGAAAGAUGUCAUCUAAGAAAAAAGAUAGGGAAAAAAAAAACCUAAAUAACAGGCCACAACUUGCAGGCUGACAAAGAAAACGAAGAGAAUAAGCUCAUUUAAGACACAAAGUUCCCAACAUAGAAAUCCAAAGCGGUGGAACCAUUUUAGCCAAGAAUUUCAAAUCAACCAAUCUAUGAAUCUACAGCAAGGAAACAACUCAAACUAUACUACUUGAUAAAGUGCAAAGCCCCUUAGGUCUUUUGUAAAAGGUUCAAGAAAUUAAUUAAACAGUACACAACAGAAGAAAACCAGUGCAAACAGAAACCAAACAAAAAAUACCUUCAUUCCUCACCCAUCAGCAUAGUGAUAAAUAUAGAAAUAAUAAAUAAGUUGCUAAGACCUUUACCUUACGGAAGGACUCGGGGCCCAUCUGUUUUUCCAACAUUUGAAGGAUUGCAACCUUUUAGAGAACACAACAAACAAUCAAAAAAGGAAUACGAUAAGAAACUAACCAAAAACAAUUACUAAGUACAGAAAAAACUUACAGACUUCCAUGAUCUUAUUUUUCCAUAUAAGCCAAUGCACUGGGUUCCAUAUAAAUCCUUACAAGAAGCAGAAGAGCUCAAAGCAGUUGCGCCACUAUCAUCUGCUUUGCAAACAGCACAAUUUGCCUGCACUUUGAAGACGUAAAAUUGCAUGAAUUUGCUUUAAAUACAUGAAAAUUCGACUCUUAUUAUCAGCAUUUGCAAGAGAAGACAAAGGAUAGUAACUUCUGAAUGGAUUACAGUGAAAGUAAAUAGAACUUAAAAAGCAAGCUCCUAAGUGCAGAACUAAAAUACUAGGAAACAUCCAGAAUUCCAGGUAAAAUAAGAUGCCACAGGUAAAAUAAGAAUGUUAUAAUUUAAAAUUGUUAAAAUCAGUAAAUCAAAUUCUACUAGACUUUUCGGCUUAUUAUGUAAAGUUAUAACUCAAUUCUACUUUCAUAGUGUAUUUACCAUUCUUUUCUUUUCUUUUCUUUUUUAUUUUAUAUAGGCAAAUAGAUCAACAUUGAAAAGCACAUCACAGAAAAAGAUUGGGCACACACACAAACACGGGGCAGUUCUAUUUUCAUAGUUAUUCAGGUAUUUUCAAUAUUCAUGGUUGACAGGCCAAGGAGAGAAUUUUGUGGCUAUUACCAUUUUAAAAAACAAAAAUAAAAAUAAAUAAAUAAAUAAGAUGGCAUCAUGCACAUCAAUCCUCACACCAUUUGAAUCCAAAACUAAAGAACUUGUUUGGCAACAUUUGUGAAAACAGUUCUCAAAAAACAAUUUUUGUGAACAGUUCUUGAUUAUUUUCAAGAACAAAAUUCUAUUUGGGUACUCCAAUAUGAAAAACAGUUUUCCCAACUUAUUCUCCAUGAGAGUAGUAUGCAUUUAUGUAUAAUGCAAAAGUUCCUAAAGUAUUCUCAAUAGUUUCAAGUGUUACUAAGAAUACUCUAUAAAUAACAGCUGAAAACACCUCAAAUUUGUUCUAAAAAACAGUCAAUUUUCACAACAAAUUCUCAAAAAAAAAUAUUUCUAUCAAAAAAAUUGUCAAACAUGUUUUCCAAGUUAGAACAUGGUUUUUUGCUAUAAAGAACAAAAAAACUGUUUUUAAGAACAGUUUCCAACAAACCCUAAGGAUUCAACUCUCUAAGUAUCAAUAUCACCAAUAUCAAUGCAAAUUAAUAACAGCAUAUUCCAUUUUUUUCAAAUUAUUAAAGAUGUUAACAAGUAUUAGUCUUAGCAUCAAACUAUUCCAGCAAGGUGUGAAUUAAAAUGCUCAUUCUAAAGUCAGUUUCUUUAUUUAGAAAGUUGUGUAGGUGAAGAUUCUUAUUGUCUGCAAUUUAUGAGAAGAGGUAGUAUCCUUGUGUUGUCUGUGUUGCUUGUGCAAACAAAAGGACAAAUUGGCUAACCCAUACUCUUACUCAUUGUGAUUGUGCACAUAGCUUAUGAUCUCCAUUGUUUGCCAUCUUUGGAGUUGCUUGGGUUUGGCCUUUCUUAGUCAAGAACAUGCUCAUUACCGGCAUAAUAAGUUCAUGGGCAAGAGGAGGAUGGAGAGAAUGCCCCUUUGUGCUUAUUCUUGCCUCUAAACAGAGCACAUCAAAGAAAUUUUGGAGUGUCGGGAUCAGGUUCUGAAACAUUAUUUCCCUGAAUUCCUAUUUCUUUGCUCAAGGAAUUCCUAAGGUGUUAGGAAGCUGUCUUUCUUAGACAUUGUUUAUGAAAUGGGGAUGGUUUAAAGCCUUCUUAGCAACCAUAGUUCCAUUUUAUUCUUUCCUUUUGUUUCUUAGUGUUCAUUGCUUGCUUUUCAACUACCCAAGUUGUCCUAGUUCAACCCAAGUUGCAUGCCUACCUCACAUGGUUUCAGUCCCCUUGUACUGUUUCUCUUCCUCUGAUAAUAUUCUUUUUCUUAUUAAAAAGCAUCAAAAAGGAUGAGGGAAGGAGGAAUAGGCAAUGAACCUAAUGGCGGAAAGCCUUUUAAAGACUAUUCAAGGAAGAUGGAAGACCUAAGUAAACUUUAAGUAUAAUUAAUAUUAAUUAGAAUUGAAUUAGGAUUACUAUUUGUUGGAGUCAAAUUAGGAUUAGCUAAUUAAAUUAUAAUAUAAUUAGAAUUUGAGUCAUAAUAGGUUAUUAGAGUCCUAGUAGACUUUGGAUGUUAUAAUUAGGAUUAGAUUCAUAAUAGGUUAUUAGAAUCCUAAUAGACCUUGGAUUGCUUAGAGAAGCCUAUAAAUGGGCUGAUUGAUGUAAAUCAAAGAAAUGAAUUGAUUGAUAUUAAUAAUAUUAUGUUUUUCUUCAUUGCAAGUGUUGCAAUCCUCAAUGGUGAGAUUCCAUUGAUUUUCUUCUAAGUGAGACUCCUAGAAGGUCUUAGUGAGACUCUAAGGUUCUCAUUUUUUCUUCAUCGUUUCUUCUCUCUCUAUUUUUUUUUUUUUUUUUUUUUCUACCAUAAACUUUAUUCCUUAUUCCUCUCCUUAUACUCUAAAAUCAAAACCCUAGCCCACCUACUUUGAGUGUAGGCAACCAUCUUAGGGUUGUCCUACAUCAAUUCCUUCUCCGAUGUUAUCACUCCUCUCUUAGCCAAGAAACCCACUUCCAUAUCAACAACAUUAAACAUCUAAGAAACUAUGCACUAAGGAUUAAUAAAAGUCCUUUACAUCCUUCAAACUGUAGGCAUAUCUCCAAGAUCCACAUGCUCUACUGCAAACCCACCUGAAAAUGGUGGAAAAAUUCUUAUUUAACAAUGAUUUCUAUAAUGGUAAUUUUGGACAAAUUGGAGGCAUUCCUGAAGGCCUUAAAGAAGAGCUAUAAUUUCCACAUCUAAGAAGUCCAACCAAUACAAUUUUAAAUAGAAAGUCAACUCAUUGAAGCUCAAGUUAUCUUAAGCAGCUAGAGGGGAAUCCACUUAAAGCAUAUUCAAUAGUGAAAGCACAAAGCCUGUUUAUUACCUCUAAUCCCAAAAAAAAUUUAAAAAAAAAAAAAAAAAAAGCCAAAGAGUAUAGAGCCAAUCAAAGCCCUAGUCAAUGCUAGGAUGGCAAUUCUAUCCCACAUAUGAUUUUUUUUCUUUUUGAUAUAUUUUUUCUUUUUUUAAUUUUAUGAUAGGCAAAGAUCAAUUAUAUCAACAUUGCCUAACAAAAGGGUAUACAAAGGCAUAUACUGUAAAUACAAGGAUGCUAAAAGCCAAAAUGAAUCUCUAGCUUUGCUUAGAUUUAACCAGUUAACAAAGUCCAUCAUGGAGAAACAACUAUCUCCUGUGUACACUCUAACCCACUCCAAAAUGUUAUAUAUAAUUAUUUGAUUGUUUGAUCCACUUUUUCAAAAUUAUCAAAUGCUCUCAUAUUUCUCUCCCUCCAUAUGAUUUAAAAUAAGCACAAAGAAGCAACUCUCCAAGUUUUCUUCUUCGUUCCAAAAAAGGAUCCAUGUCAAUUGAGGAAUGUAUCACCCAAUCUAUUCCAAAUAAAGCAUGAAUCAGUUGUAAUAGGAUGACUACGUUCUAACAGUGAAGAAGGAUGUGAUCAACAGUUUGUUCUUCUCCUUUGCAAAGAUAGCAUUUGUUCAAAAUCCUCUAACCCCUCCUUUUGAGUUGAUCCAAAGUCAAUAUCCUUCGUUGAAUAGUUUCUCAGGUGACAGUAUCCAAUAAUUCCAAUCAAUACUAGAAGGGAAUGUCUCCAUUCUUAAAUUUGAUACAGAGGAUAAAGAAAUUUAACUAAAAAAAAUGUCUUUCCUUGAAUUCAACCAAACCAUUUUAUCAUUUAUAUCCCUAUAAAUUGUUUGUGCUAACAGCUUUUAAGAAAGGCCUUCAUGCCAUCUAUCUCCCAGUAAUGAAUCUAUCUUACAAACCUCGAGUUCUAAUAAUCUCCCAUGCCAUCCUGCUCCCAUACAUCAACUAACCAUGCAUCUUUACCCGUGGCUAAUAAGAAUAAUUCUGAAAAAACUUCGUCUAGGAACAAGUCACCAGCCCACCUAUCCUUGCAUAAUUUCACAUUCCACCCACCACCUACAUUAAAACUAGUUUGAUUGUUAAAGGUCUCCCACCAGCUUACACACCCACCCCAUACCCUUCCCCCACUUCUUGAGAGCACCACCUCCCCAUACUUCCCUACCAUAGUUUUAAAAGGCUCAAGGCGCACCAAGGCACAAAGUAGUCCUGGAGCCUGAGGCGCAGGUUUUAGUGAAGUGAGGCACACCCUAAUUUACAUAUAUUUUUCCUCCUCUUCUUCGCCUUCUUCACUUCUCCAUUGCACAGCUGAGGCUAGGGCAAAAUUUGGGAGAGUUGUCGGGUUGAAAGCAACCAGAAAAGGGGGCUGGAAGGGAAAACAGGGCCAAAACAUCAUUGUUUUGGCCUGUUUUUUAUUUUAAAGGAACAGGCUCCAAAACAGCAUUGUUUUGGCUUGCUCUUUUUAAAAUAAAAAGGGCUAAAACGAAAUCAUUUUGACCCAUUUUUAAAAAGGUCUAAAACGACGUCGUUUUGGUCCCAAAAAAUCAAAAAAAAAAAAAAAUUAAGGUUUCUCUCUGCCCUUUGCAACCUGACACCGGAGAAGAAGAAAAAAAAAAAAAAAAAAAGGAGAAGGAGAAGGUAGGGGAUCAAGGCACACCUGUGGACCGCAUCACGCCUUGCACGCCUAAGCGGCGCCUUCAUGAAGGGGUGUCGCCUACCUUCAGGCAAGGCGUCGAAGGAUGGCGUCAUGCCGCCUGGAGCCUAGGCACGCCUUUCACAACUAUGUUCCCUACAAAUAACAAUCACCUACUUCUAAAGAGAUUGUCUUUCCAUAGCGAACCUUCAACACCAUUUGUCCAAAAGAGCUUGUUAAUGAUGGAUAGAUUUCUAACACCCAACACUAUUUUCUUUCUCAUGCAAACCAUCAACCAAUUCACCAAAUGUGGUUUUCUCACGAUAAACUCUCCCACCAAAAGAGAUCACUUUGGAUCCUUUUUAGCUUUAACCUCACCAUUUUUAAGAUGACAAAUAAAGACAUGAAGUAAAUUCAAGUGUUGGACAGAGUAUUCUUUAUUAGAGCUAUUCUUCCUCUUUUUGAUAGGGUAUUGCUUCUUCCACAUAGAUAGUUGCUUCUAAAAUUUUUCGUCUAUCACAUCCCAAACCCAUGACACACUGAAUGGACCUACCUACAUUGUAGCACCCUAGGUAGUUCCUCCAAGUUAGCAACUAUCCUAACAAGGAUCAACUCACCUUUUUUCAGAUUCAUUUUUAACUUAAGAUUGCCCUAAAUUACGUGAACGUUUAGUUCAAAUGUUCCAUAUGCUCCUUAGUAGCAUCGUAGAGAAUAAGAGUGUCAUUAGCAAAUAACAUAUGGGAUACUUUCAAUCCCUCAUCUCCUCUUCCACUAACUAAGAACCCUUCUAUGAAACCCCCUUCCUUAACUUUUUUCAGAAUGUGAGAGAGGGACUCCAUGGCCAUGAUAAAGCAAUAUGGGAACAAAGUGUCACUGUGUCUCAAGCCUCUUAAACUUAGGAAAAAGCAUGUUAGAGUCUCAUUAACCAAUAUGGACAAGUGAGUCAUAGAGUUACACCACUUAAUCCAUCUCAUCCAUCUAGGACCAAUUCUUUUUUUUUCCAAGAUCACUAACAAAAAGCCCUAAGUUGGCAUGAUCAUAUGCCUUCUAAAUGUCUAAUUUACAUGUGACCCCAUUGACGGUGUUUUUCAACCUUAAGUUGAUGACUUCAUUAGUUAUGGGGACCACAUCCAAAAUUUGUCUCCCCUCCACAAACGCAUACUAAAAGUCCAAAAUCAUUUUUUUCACCACCGCCAAAUUGACUGGCCGAAAUCUUACAAAUCUUCUGCACCCCACUUUGUUUAGACAAAGACUAUCAAAAUGGCCUCUUAGUUCAUAGAAAUUUGCAAAAGAAGAAAGGGAAAAACACAAACAAACAAAACUUAUCAACUCACCUCACUUUUCACAAAAUCCCAACAAAACUACCAAGGUUAUGGAGAAGUUUUUCAGCCUAGGGGCUUUAUCCCCACAUAAAUUGAAAAAGGCUAAUAAAACCUUCUCCUCAAAACAGUGUCUCCAAGGAUCCUAAUUCUCUCUACACAAAGUUUCCAAACCCUUCCACCAGGGCUCAUAAGAUCCAACUCUAAAGAAUGGAUAAAGGGCUCUCUAGUUACAAAAGAGGCCCACAUCUGCUACAAAUCAUCCACUGGGCUAGCUCCAUUUAAAAUAUUAAGGCCACUAUUUUUUGGCUUAAUGGCUCUCACUACCCAGACUUGCACAAAGCCUACCCUAUUAUCUUAGGCCUUAAUUGGCAAAAUAAGGCCUUUUUGGCCUUCUUCACUUUUCUCGACCACCUCCUCAUUCUUAAGCCCAAUACAACAGCAUUUUGUCUUGCCACUCCAUACUCAACCUUUUUGCUUUUGUCCUAUUACACAUGAAUCGAACCCUCAACCACCCCCAUUUCUCAUCCCAUCCCAACCCAUUACUACUUGAGCUAGGCUUCAACGGCACAUCAUUGACUACUUUCCCCACAAAUGUAGAAUAGAAAGCUUUCUUAGAUCUCCUAGAUUAAAACAAGUUUUUCAAGUCCAUUUAGCAAUAGACUAGCUCGUCUGACUAUUUUCCUCACAAAGGACACAAAUACAAAAUAGAAAGCAUUCUUUCUUGGGUCUCCUAGGAAACAAGUUUUUCAAUUCCAUAUAGCAAUGGAUUAGAUGGUUUCAAAUGCUCCUCAUUCAUAUCACUACAGUUUUUUUUUUUUUUUUUUUUUAAUACAUACGGACAACUUAUUUUUUGUAAGAAGUUUCUUAAGUUGUGUUUGGUUCCUUCUAUUGGGCAUUCACCAACGUAGCUUUUAUUCUUAGAUAGUCACUAAGGUAUGUUUCAUUGGUGACCAUUGCCAUAACAAAGAUUUCAAAAAAUAUGAAGUACACAAGAUAUGCAAACAGGUACCUAUUCAACAAGAAUAACCAAACAAACUCAAUCUAACCAGGAGCUUGGUUUGAGCAAACCUCAAACCACAGAUAGGGUAGGGGUAGGGCUGUCAGCAGCCUAUGCAACUCCUAGUGAUGGGCUUAGACUGGCCUCUAAACCAUCCAUCCUGUUUAAGGAAUUGCUCUAAGCAGAGCACCACAAACACAAUAAGCGGGAAAGGUUUGUUUAAGCUACAUCCAAAAUUGCACUUGGUGAUGUGAUUAAAUUCACUAAUGUUAUAUAAGUCAAUCAAAAGACAACUUAUAUAAGGUAAACCAAAUGUGAAAGCCCCCAUAAGAAAGCAAACCUUGUAUCUCCGGUAGCGUGCCUCAUUAUUUCCCAGAAAUCGCUUAACAAAUGAAUCAGUCAGAAAACCAGCAAGACCAUCCAACAACCACUCUGCCAAUAAGCAAUAAGCAAUAAGCAACCAUAUGAGAAGCCACUGUCUCUUCAAUACAGAUGAAACUAAUGAUCAACAAUAAUUCAAAACCUAAUCAAGCAAUACCAUGAAUAUUUCUACAUGCUUACCAUCAUUUGGUGCCUCAGGACUGAUAAAUACUCCAAACCAUUGCCUUGCAAGGGCAUAAGCAAGUUUAAUCCUCGUAUCUAUUGUCUGCUAAAACAUAAAUAAACCCAUCAGUGUUAUUACCAGAAAAGCAAGGAGAAAAUGAUAAUAAAUUUCUAAGACAGCUGAUAUUAGUAAUAAAACAUCAAUUGAUAAGAAGGCAUGCAUUAUCAUGCACUUCAUGCAUGAUCCAGAUUGAUAGAUGAGUACAUCAUAUGGCAUAAUGCUUAUUAAAAAAAUAUAGGACAAUAACAGCUACUCUGAAUUUCACAGGCUAAGCAUAUAAAACAUUUUGCACCACAUAAACACAUUUCAGGGAGACCCAAAAGGAAAAACAAAAUUUCAAAUGUAUUCAGACAGAUGAUGGAGGCCUGCACACUCAAUUUUACUUCCACAGCCUAUAUGUAGAAUCUAAUCCAAAAAAAUGGGGGUUGUGCUGUUUAGAGUUGAGAAUAUGCAGCUUAAUGCCUAGAAUUUGACUCCAAGAAUAAAAGAUCAUGCUCCUGCAUCAGGAGUUAAGGGUCCAGUGGAAGGAUUUUCGUAUAUGGGUUAGGAAUGUCAUAGAUUAGGAAAACUCAAGGUCAUUAAGGGAAACUUAAGAGAUUGAAAAUAGAAGGCUUUCCAUAAGUUUUAGCCACCCUCUGGCUGAUUUGGCUUGAAAGGAAUACCAGGAUCUUGAAAGAUAGGAGGCCACAAGUUGACGUCUUGUAGGUAAUAUCUAUUUACUUCUCUUUGGGUGGCUAUCACCAAGGAGUUACCUGGUUACUCUCAUUAGUAUUACUUUGUUGGAUGGAAGAUCAAUUUGUCUCUUGGGAUAGUCAUCGACAUCAUAAUUCAUGAGUGAGUGAGCUCCCCUAUACAUUGCCUUGAACUCAAUUUUGAUUAGUGCUUUUGGUUAACCAAGGCAGAUGGGUACUAGGAGGCCUCUUCAGAUAACCAUCAAAACCUGCUAGGUUGGGUCUGGAAUAAAGGUGGACAUUUCAACCUUACAAAAAGACAUGAUAGAUGCAACCACGUUUAUUGUUGCUAACUGUUUGAUGGAGAAGGAUUCAAUGAACACCAUGUCACAAGAAAGGAUAGCUCCAUCAAGAUAUAAUGUGAUUGCAUUGUAUUGUGGCUCUUUCUAUCUUUGCAUUAACUAUUGGACGGCUAGUCAUGAAGUUGAUAACUGGACAAAAAGGGAGCCUACUCAAUCAAGCUUUUUUUGGAGACCUUCUGCCCUCUAGAGUUUCUUUCUACUCACCUUUGCUUAUGUUUGCAAAAUUUAGAGAGGCCUUUUAUGUUGGGAGCCUAUUCUUAUCUUUCAUUUAUUCCUUUCAAAGGAAAAAAAAAAAUAGUAAUCACCGUGAAAAUAAAGCCUUGGUGCACAAUCCUGAGGGUGAACCAAAUCCACAAGGAAGAACAAGAAACUUGAGUUUGAGGCUAUUUUGGAACAAGAGGAAUUGACCCUACGGUGAACAUCUAAAGUAAAAUGGAUUAAGAAAGAGAAUAUAAUUGUAGACUUCUACAUAGGAUUGCCAAUUAGAAACAAAAGAAAAAUAUUCUUACAUCUCUCCUCAUUGAAAAAGGAGAGAAUAAAUUUUUGUUUUACAUAUCAUAAAUAAACAAUUCUUUUCUUUGAAUUGUAAUGGGAUAUAAAGAACAAACUACUCUUCAUAAAAUCAAAACCUGACCAAGAACUAGAAAAACUAGACAAGGUAGACUCAGAGAAGAAAUGUGAUCAUGCGGAUUAGGACUUCCUUGACAAUAUCAUAGAGAAAAGGGCAUAGGUACAGGUGGUGUAUGCCAAUGAGAGCAUGCAUUUUGUCGAUCAAAGCAAACAAUAACUAUACAAUUGGGUGUGGGUUGUUACAAAAUGAUAUCAAAGUCGAUCUCUAACCCCAGUAUAGGGGUUUGUUUGACCCCAUAGGGUGUUUGUUUGUUUGACCUUGCAAUCUCGCGAGACACAACAAAAACAUUGUGUCUACAUGAGAGGGUGUUUUUUAUGUCCCACAUCAGAUAGGGGAAAAAGUUUCUAGCACUACAUAUGUGUGGACUCCUCUUAACCAUGUAGAUGCGUUUUAAAGUCAUGAGAGCCCCUUUGGGCUCAAAGUGAACAAUAUCUAUUGUGGAGAAAGUUCCUAACGCUACAUAUGUAUGGACUCUUUUUAACCAUGUAGACGCAUUUUAAAACCAUGAGAGCCCCUUUGGGCUUAAAAAGAACAAUAUCUACAUGGUUGGGUGUGGGUCAUUAAUCUAUACAAUUUUUUUUUUAUUUUUUUUAUUUUAUAACCAAUGAACCUUUCAUAGCCAAACCCUUAGGACUCUCCAUGGGGACCCAAACCUCGGGGUGUUGACCGCCCCCCAACAACCAACACCAGGUAAAUUCAGGAUAUCAUCAGUGGCAAGAUUCAAACCCAGGACCAUAUGCCACUUACUAGGACCACACUCCCCAAUAUUUGCCCUGACCAACUAGGCUACCCUAAUGAGUCUACACAAUUUUGAUUAAUAUGAAAGCUAGAUGAUGGACUGGGGCUUCUAAGGGUCUUAGGAAAUGGGUUGACCUUCUCUCUUUUCUCUUUAUGAUAGUGGUACAUGUCCUAAGUAGGAUUACUAAUAGAGCUCAAAUUUAAUUUUGUGAUAGGAUUUAAACUCUUAAAAGAGAGGAUUUAUAUUUUGCACCUUUGAUUUGCAAAAGAUAAUAUUUUUCUCUCCUUGAAGAUGAAAUUUUUCUAACUAAACAUAUAUCGGAAGAUUUGGGAUGAUUUCUAACCUUAAACUGUUAACUCCAUCUUGUACCCUUUCAUGAUCAAGUACUACAUCCUCAUAACUUCAAUCUUGACAAAAUACACCAACUCAAAAAGGAUUAGAUUUUUUUUUUUAAUCAGAAACAAAUGCAUUAUUAAAAUGGAUUAAAAGUACAAGUGAAGGAUGAAAAAUCUUCCCAAAUUUACAAAAUCCAAUCAAAAUUAGAGGUAGAGAAACCUUCUCCAAUAUACAUCUAAAGGGUACCACAAGAAACAAAACAAAGAAAAGGCUUAGAUAUCCUUAGACCCUGCCUAUCUUAUCACAAAAUGCCAUAUUGCUCACUAUUGCCAGCUUUCAACCUGGGUUUCAGGGUUCACCAAUUUUCAAUGAAAGGUAAUUUAAGAAAGCUCUUUUCACUUGCUUCUUCCUGCCUCAAAUCCUCCUACCCAGCCUCUCCCUCUCUUCUUCAUCCCUGCAAAGAUCUUGACUGACUGUUUUAAUUCCUUUUACCUGUUGGAAAAUCUCCAACUGCAAGAGCCCAGGAUUCUCCUUUUUUUUUAUCAGAAACAAUAUACAUAUUGAUAAUAAUAAAGUUGAAGAGAAGGAUAAGAGGUCCUUCCCACAAGGUACAAAACCUGAUCAAAGUAAGAGUAUACCCUCCACUGUACAAGGAGAAAUACUGAUAAAAGCAUGUACAAAAUCUCUCAAAAAUCAAAACCAAACUCUCUCAAAAGUUAUCUACCCCUUUCUAAUUACAAACCGAAAGCCAACUAAAUAGAAUAACCUAAAGGGGAAUUCCUCUAAAAGUGAGUAGAAAUGAAUAAGAUCUCAUAACAUCCCUUCCGUUCUACACUUUUCCUCAAAAAUCCUAGCAUUACUCUCUUACCACACAACCUAUAAUACAGUGAAACAUGCAACAUGCCAAAGCAUCUUGCCUCUAAUUGAAUUCCCCAAGCCUCUAAACGAAAUAAUCAUCAUAUCUCCAAUACUCCUUGGUGGAACCCAAUCCAAACUAGCUACACUGAAGAGCUUAUGCCAAAGCCCCAACAUUAUUGGGCAAUGUUGGGGAUGAUCAAUUGAUUUUCCACUCUCUUUGCAUAAAAUGCACCAAUGAGGACUAAGAGAUUUGUAAGGUCUUCUCACUUGUAGCAUAUCAUUGGUAUUAACCUUCUUAUGCACCACUAACCACACAAAGGCCUUGACCUUUGAUAGGACUUUUGAUUUCCAAACAAAAUUAGUCGAAAGGAACAGAAUUGGAUUAGAGGGCUUGGACAAGAUCAUGAAAAAAGAUUUUACUGAAAAUAAUCCAGCGGAGGAUAAGGACCAAACUCUUGAGUCUAUGGUAGAAAAAGCCAGUGGAGAUUUUACUUUUCUUGCCCAAGAUUCUUCUUUUUGGAUCAAAUGAACUUUGUAACACUGUCCUCAAACAUCAAUAACAGGGCAUACCUUGCCUAAACUUUACCUUCUCAACUCCAUCCAGUGUAGGAAAUGGCAAUAUAUCAUCUCUCUCACAAACUGUUCAAUCUCAACUUCUAAUUUAUAAAUAAUAAUAAUAAUUAAAAGAAGAAGAAUAUAAUGAUGAUGAUGAUGAAAACUGAACACAACAAGGGACCACUGUUAACUGUAUCCAAUCUAUUUGACACUAUUGAGCAGGCCAUAAUAAUGUAUUGAACGCAUUUAAGAAUAUUAAACGUUGUUAGAACAUAAAAAAUAUUAAUAAUAGGAACCCACUGGCUUGGGAAUGCAAAAGAGAGAGUAGAUAGCAAUCAGUACAAAGAAACCACAUCUUUGAAGAAAUAAAUAAAUAGUCAUAAUGACCAUAAGUAUAUCAUUGAAUAAUCAUCACAUAACUGACCAACUAAAUUAGUUGAGUAAAUAAACAAACCUGAUCAAUAACCUUCUCAUCAAAUAGAAUUUGAGAACUAAAGAUGCUCAUGGAGGCUCCCAAUGUCAAUGAGGAUAUUGCCAUUUCAGGAGCAAUAAAGACUUGCUUGUAUGAUCCAAAUGGAAAUGAUGCAGAAAGAUAAUCCUCAUAAUGGCUGUGAAAGUAAAACAUGGAUAUUAAAGGAUAGAACCAUGCAGGUAGCAUGAAGAGAUAGAAUUUAAAAUCAAAUUCACACAAGAAAUACAAAAGUCUCAAAUGAAAGUAUAUGAAAAAAUACAAACCUAAAUGCACUAUGGAAGAAACCCACAGUAUUCCAAAGCUUGGGUAAAUUAGCUGGCAAACACAGGUAUGAAAGAAGACCACUAUGGCGGUCAGGAAGUACUUCAAAGGGUGCAACUGCCAAUUGUAUCCACCUUGCAGUAACUGGAACAUUUAACUUAUAGACAUAUGUUUUUCUAGGAGGGUCAUCUUUGCUUAACACCUGUAAAAGAAGAACAAUUGAGUGAUAAAGGUUAGAACAUCAACAAAUACAAAGCCACUAAUCAGUAGAAGAAUACAGCAUUCCACAUGCAAUUCUCAAUAUAUACAAAAAUUUGUUACCCCUUGUAAAUGCAUUUUUUGCUCGGCUCCAUAUUAAUACACAUGUUCUCGUGUGAUAUAAAAGAUUAAGGCACAAAAAGUUCUAUGAGUCUGAGAUGAGAUGACCUCUAUCUUUGUAAUUAUUUGUCUCAGUCACGAAAAGCUCUCAGUUUCAUUUAAAGAAUAGAACAAUGUGGAUUCAUCAGUCACUUUAAGGUGGGGCAUAAGGGAGGAGAACUUUUUGUGACACCAAUUAAGAGCAGCUAAGGUAUCUUAGCUGGGCCCUUGUAUGCAUGUGAAGUCAUACAUGCGCAUGGAAAAUAUGCAUACAUGAGCAUGGUAAAUAUGAUACAUGAGCAUACUAAAUAUACAUAUAUGCACAUAGCAACGUCAAUGGGCAUUUGCCGAUUUUCAAAAAUUCCAUUAACUAACAAAUUAUGAUAAAGAAGAAGGUUGAGUAAGCGAUUGAACUCAAGAAAAAAAUUCACUUGUACCCUUGAUGAUAGACCAUAAACCUUGAGGAAGACCCUGGAAGUGUGGUGAGCGAGGCCCGCAAGCAUAAGGAUUGAUUUAACCAAGAAAGGAAGUAGAUUAGUAUUUAUUAUUAUUAAUUUAUUAUUAUCGAUGUAUCGUGUGUCAUAAUUCUUUUCCUCAAUGGGAGAGAGAGAGCGAGAUCGCGAUGGCGAGGGGGGUGAAGAUAGUGAGGUGCCUCGAAGAAGAAGGAAGGAGAGCAGCUUCGUAGUGGAGUCCAAGGUGUUCGAGCUCACGUUAGUAGAAAGAAGAGGAAAAUCCCAAAUCUACAUCGUGGAGAGAAAGAGGGGGGUCUCGUCUUGGGUUCGAGUGGGAGCGGAGAGUUUAGGGUUUCUCUUGGAAGGUUUAAAUCACUGCAUAAAGAACGAGAAAGAAGGAAGUUGGGAAAGGGAAUGGAAGGAAAAGGGGAGAUCUUACUCCCUGUUGCGAAGUGCGACUAAAGCGGGGUGUUUUCUCCGGCUAGGGGUAGUCGAUUCGGAGCGAAAGCAAUACAACAUUUACAUUCCAAAAGGUAGAGGAGAAAAAGAGGGAUGGGUUUCUAUGGCGGAAAAUCUACAACUAAUGGGAGGAUCAAUCGGUAGAAAGGACAACAUACAAGAAGAAAAGGUUGUUGGGAAACUUGCUUUGGAGAGAACGUACGCGGAAGUGGUGAAGAGGCCGAGAUGUAGGGAUAAAAAUUCAGUCAAAGUGGAGGUACGAAGGGAGGAAAUCCACAGAAAUUUGCAGAAAUUGGAACAUUGCAUCGUUGGGAGUUGGAACCCUAGAUCAGAUGGAGGAGAGGAUUUGAAGAAAUUGGGGAGAUUAUUGGUGAAUUCUUAGGGGAUGAAAGGAAAAUUAGGGUUGGCAAGACUGGAGAAGAGUAGGAUUUUGUUGGAAUUUGAAUUCUUGGAUGAAGCCAAACGCACUCUCUUUUCAGGGGAGCGAAUGAUGGGAGGGCUUCAUUUGAGACUUGAGAAAUGGCGCCCUAGGAGCGGCUGUCGGGAUGAGGAGGAAUUAAGAAACGAAGCCUGGGUCAAAAUUGUUGGGCUACCAGUCUCGAUGUGGGACCCGACCAUUUUGAGAAGGGUGAGGGAUGAGUGUGGUGGCUUCAUUGCCAUCGACCCUCAGACGGAGAAGUUGGAGGAGCUCCAAUGGGCUCGGAUCUUGGUAAAGACGAACGGAGAAUUUAUGCCGAGCAUACUGGAGAUCGGUGUUGAGGAGGAUGUUUACUCCCUUAUUCUAAGGUGGGAGCUUAGACCGUCUUUGAGGAAGGCCAGGGUAGACAGUUGUGAAACGAUCAGUCGAAAAAGUGGGGAGGUUAGGGGUGACGAAUUCUCACGCGCUGGCUCGCGCGUGGAGGAAGAUUCUGAUUUCGAACGGCCCGAGGCACUGUAUUUGUCAGCUGAGGGGAUGGGCGUGCAGGAGAGGGGUUUGGGUCGGGAGGUGAUCGCAGACCGGGCCCAAGGAUCAGCAACCAUGGGCUCAUUGAAAAGGGCCUGUGGGCUGUGUUUGCAAAGUCCAUCAAUGGACCUAAAGUUAAAAGGAGUGGUGGCUGAAGUUGCCGGGCCAAAGGCUGGACCAUCCAAGAAAUGGGCUAUUGAUGAGGCUGGCCCAAUGCCUGAUGGACCAACUAAUCUGGAUGGGGCUAGACCAGACAAGCCCACGACCCAAGGCACAGUCAAAGGCCCCUAGGAGAAGGCCUGUCUUCUGGAAUGUAUAAUAGCCAGAAGCGGGAGGUUCUCAGAGGCAGAACAGUUAGUUUCCUAGGAGACAGAAGGCCUAAGGAAGCAAAAAGCGAAAGCUAUUCUCUCAGCAACAGACAAGGCUCUGGUAGAGGAAGCCAUGAGGUAUGGUUUUGUUUUAAAAACAAGGGAAAAAAUGGUCUAUGGGUCACCUCAUCUUAUUUCUUAUUCUUUUGAUCGGGCUCCGGAGGGAGAGUAUUACGAUCGCUCUGGGGUCUUAGGGGAGGUAACUGGGAUCAAUGAUGAAAAUAUCGGUAAUCACGGAUAUAUCGGUACUUCGAUUUUACAGAUAUAUCGGAUAUAUCAGAGAUAUAUCGGCGGAUAUUUUGGAAACAAAUAUCGAUUAACCUAAAAUUGAUCAAAAUUUAUAAAAAUAUAAGAAAAACUUCAUAAAAAUGUAAUUAAAAGUAUAAUGAUAUUUUUAAAUUAUUUUAUUAAAUGAUUUUAUAUAUGUAUAAUAUGAUUUAUCAUAUUUGAUAAUAAUAUUGUAUGUGCUAAUAAAAAAACUAUAAAUUUCAUAAGUAUAUAUUUAUUAUUAAAUUAUAUCAAAUAUUAUUCAUAAUAAUAUUUGUGAUAUUUUAUUAUAAUAUGUCUAAUUUUAAAAUAUAUUUAAUAUUAAAAUUAUAAUUUAUUUUAUUUAAUUGUAUUAAAUGAUAUAAAAUAAAUGAUAGUAUAUGUAUAAUUUUUAAUACUUAAUUAACAUAUUAAUGAUAUUAAAAACACUAUAAAGAAAAUUAUCACGAUAAUUUUUAUAUUUUUGGUAUUCAAAUAGAUGAAAAAAAUUUAUUUAAUUAUAAAAUAAUUAUAAUUAAUUUGUUCUUUAAAACAUUUUUUUAAAAUUAUGUUUAUAUGAUGAAUUUGACUUUAUAUAUAUCAAGGAGCAAAGUUGCCCCAGCGGUUGGUUCAUUGCCAACCAAACCUUUUGGCUGGGGUUCGAGCCCCCACGACGGAAAUCUUGAGGCAUUUUUAAAAGUUUGACCGCACAGACCGCAUUGACCCUCAUUUGACCGCCCAAAUUAUCGCAAUAUAUUGAAGAUAAAAUGAUAAAAUGCUAAUAAAUCCCGAGAAAUAGGUGAAAUUCAUGAUAAAUUGGUAAAAUAUCGUGAAACCGAUAUUUCUCUUCCAUAUAUCGUGUCGAGAUGCUCUGAUACUCGAUAUUUUCCUCCCUGAUCGGGAUUGAGAAUCCAUUGGGAUUGUUAACUGAAGUUGGGCCCGGAGAGAAUGGCAAUGGCUGCUGGGACUUGGUAGAAAUCACUAGUGUCAGUAACAAGGUUAGGGGUGUGAAAUGGGACUCAGAUAUAUCCGAGCCUCAAGAUAUCAGGAGCGAGAAAGAGGACAGAUGGGAGGAAAGUAGUUUGGCGAAAUUCAGUCACUUCUUGGGUUUUUCGACAGAGGGUCUAGAAAAGGAAAUUCUGAGCUUUUUGAUCAAAAUAAGAAAGAAACGGGAAAGGAUUCAUAGCAAAGAGUUGUUGGAGAAGUCAAAGUUCGAAAGGGAGUUAAAGAGGUUGGAGUGUUCAGUUAAUUAUGAGAAGGUGAAUAAGCAGAAAGGCCCAUCACAGGGCAAAGGGUGUCAAAUUGCAAUAGAUCAAUGAAGCCAAAGUUGUUAAGUUGGAAUGUGAGGGGAGCAAAUGACAGUUUCAAAAGGAAAAUCAUUAAGACUUUCAUAAGGAAUCAAAAGGUUGAUUUACUGUGUAUUCAGGAGACAAAAAUCCAACCAAUGUCGGAGGGUGUGGUGAGAAGCUUAGGUUCAGGGAGAUUCUUAGAUUGGAGGGCUUUGGAUGCGGAUGGGGUAGCGAGAGGCCUAUUGCUUUGUUGGGAUAAAAGGUCGUUGGAAAUAUUGGAUUGGGAGGAGGGUCAAUUCUCUCUAUCUUGCAGAUUCAGGAAUGUGGAAGAUGGGGUUGUUUGGGUGUUCACGAGAGUCUAUGGUCCUUUCACCAAAGAGGAAAUGGAAUGCUUGUGGGAAGAGUUUGGGGCCAUUAGAGGAAUUUGGGAAGAUCCUUGGUGCUUAGGGGGUGAUUUUAAUAUUACUUUAUUCCAAAGAGAAAGAAGCAAACAAGGGAGAAUAACCUCAACGAUGAGGAGGUUUGCUCAUAUUAUCGAUGAGUUAGGAUUGGUGGAUCUUCCACUGCAAGGGGGAGUGUUUACUUGGAGCGAGGGUCUUAACAAUCAGUCAUGGGCUAGACUGGAUAGGUUUCGUGUGUCUCCUAGUUGGUUAGAUCAUUUCAGUGGCGUGCUCCAAAGAAGACUGCCCCGGCCUCUUUCGAAUCAUUUCCCUGUCCUCCUAGAGGGUGGCGGGCUAAGAAGAGGUCCCUCUCCUUUUAGAUUCGAAAACAUGUGGCUUAAGGUUGAGGGCUUUAUAGAUCUUAUCCGAAGUUGGUGGAGGGAGAUUGAGGUCAAAGGCACUGCUAGCUUUAAAUUGGCUGCAAAGAUGAAGGGGAUCAAAUAGAAACUAAAAGCUUGGAAUAGAGAGGUUUUUGGGAAUCUGGAGUGCAAUAAAGUUUCAGCUUUGCAGUAGGUGGAAUUCUGGGACCGGAUGGAAAGUGAGAGAAGACUGUCAUUGGAGGAAACAGAAUUAAAAAAUGAAGCAAAUGAAAUUUAUAAAAAAUGGGUACUCAUGGAAGAAACCCAUUGGAGACAACUCUCAAGGGAGUUAUGGCUAAGGGAAGGGGAUAAAAAUACAGGUUUUUUCCAUCGUAUGGCAAACGCCCAUCAUAGAAAUAACUCCCUAGAUAGAAUUAAAAUUAAUGGGGUGUGGCUUUCAAAGGAGCAGGAAGUGAGGGAAGGGGUUGCUAAUGCCUACCAGCAAAUGAUCUCUGAAGAUUCUGGUUGGAAGGCGGAUAUUGGGAGGCUUCAAUUAGAACAAAUAAGCCAGCAAGAAGCAGAGAAUCUGGAGAUCCCUUUUUCUGAAACUGAGGUCCAUUCGGCUUUGUUGGAGAUGAAUGGGGACAAAGCCCCUAGGCCGGAUGGCUUUACUAUGGCGUUUUGGCAAAGCUGUUGGGAUUUCGUUAAAGAGGAGAUCUUGGAAAUGUGUAAGGAGUUCCAUGAGCAAAGCUCAUUUCUUAAGAGCCUCAAUAAUACUUUCCUGAUUCUGAUUCCUAAGAAAGGUGGGGCUGAGGAUCUUGGGGAUUUUAAACCCAUUAGCCUUUUAGGGGGGGCUGUAUAAACUACUGGCUAAAGUGUUGGCUAACAGACUCAAGAGAGUGUUAGGUAAAGUGGUAGCCCCAACCCAUAAUGCCUUUAUGUUGGGAAGACAAAUUCUUGAUGCUUCUUUAAUUGCAAAUGAGGUGAUAGACUCGUGGCAGAAAAGAAAAAAGAAAGGGCUCAUAUGCAAAUUGGAUAUUGAGAAAGCGUAUGACAGCAUUAACUGACAGUUCUUGUUGAAGGCCUUACAAAAAAUGGGAUUUGGAUCAAAGUGGUUGGGUUGGAUGUGGAGUUGUUUAUCCUGAGCCAAGUUCUCAAUCCUAGUUAAUGGGAUGCCAACUGGCUUUUUCCCAAGUACUAAGGUGCUAUGCCAAGGAGAUCCCCUAUCUCCUUACCUCUUUGUUUUGGGGAUGGAAGUGUUAGAUGCUCUUAUUAGGAGGGUUGUUGCUUGGGGUUUCCUUUUAGGGUGUAGUAUUCGGGGUGGUAGAAGGCCCACCCUGAAAAUAUCCCAUUUAUUCUUUGUCGAUGACACAGUUGUGUUCUGUGAGGCUAAUAAAAGCACCUAACUCACUUAAGCUGGAUAUUAUUCUGGUUUGAAGCUGCUUCAGGUCUAAGGAUUAAUUUGGCCAAAAGUGAAAUCAUCUCAAUUGGUGUGGUGGAGGAGAUUGAUGAGCUAGCAGCAGAGUUAGGGUGUAGGGUGGGUUCUUUGCCUUCUCAGUAUCUAGGUCUGCCUUUAGCGGCUCUUAACAAGGCUCAUUCUGUGUGGCAUGGGGUGGAAGAGAGAAUGAGGAGGAGACUUGCGCUGUGGAAACGACAAUAUAUCUCCAAAUGUGGGAGAAUCACUCUCAUAAAGAGCACUUUGGCUAGCAUGCCAAUUUAUCAUGUCUCUCUUCCAGAUGCCUAAGACCGUUGCUAAAAGGUUAGAAAAAGUACAAAGAGAUUUUCUUUGGGGAGGGGGAAACUUGGAAAGGAAAGCUCAUCUAGUUAAUUGGGAAGUGGUUUGUGCGGACAAGAAUAAGGGUGGGCUAGGCUUAAGGAAGCUAGUGCUCUUGAACAAAGCAUUGCUUGGUAAAUGGAUUUGGAGGUUUGCUUCUGAUAAAGAUAAUCUUUGGAAACAAGUGAUAAUGGCGAAAUAUGGGCAAGAAGGCCAUGGGUGGAGGACAAAGAAGGCUAAUGGGGCAUUUGGAGUAGGGGUUUGGAAGGAAAUUUUGAAGGAAACUGAUUGGUGUUGGGAUAACAUGGUGUUCAUAGCUGGGAAGGGUACCAAAAUCAGUUUCUAGACUGAUGUUUGGUGCACUAGUACAGCGCUGUCCCAAAACUUCCCUCAUCUAUUUGCUCUGGCUUUCCAUAGGAAUGCUACAGUGGAGGAGAUGUGGGAUCAAAAUUUUGGUCAAGGGGGUUGGAAUCUAAGAUUUUUGAAGGAUUUUAAUGAUUGGGAGUUGGAUAUGGUAGGGGAACUUGCUCUAUGUUUUGAGGGGUCACAGGGGCUCUUUGGAGGAAGACUCGGUUUUUUGGAAGGGAGGAAAAAAUGGACAGUUUAGGGUCAAAGAAGUGUACAGCUUGUUAGCCAAUCCCAAUGACAUUGCCUUUCCGUCAAGUUGUAUUUGGGUGGAUAAAGUUCCAACCAAGGUUGCGUUCUUUGCCUGGGAGGUUACGUGAGGGAGGGUGCUUACUCUGGAUAGGCUUCAAAAAAGAGGAUGGCAGCUCCCUAAUUGUUGUUUUUUGUGUGGGUGUGAAGAAGAAACUAUAAAUCAUAUUCUUAUACACUGUAUAGUGGUCAAAGUCCUGUGGAAUAUCGUCUUUGGGUUAUCAAGUGUGCAGUGGGUCUUUCCAAAAACUAUAAAGGAGGUUUUAACUAGUUGGAGGGGACCGUUUGUGGGGAAGAAAAGGAAAAAGAUAUGAAAAUUCAUACCGUUGUGUAUUUUUUAGAUAGUUUGGAAGGAGAGGAAUAGACUAGCUUCUAGCUUCUAGGGGGGGUGUGUUAGAUAUUCAAAAACUUAAGAAUUUUUUUGUUUGUAAUUUGUGGAGUUGGGCUAGAUUGUAUAUUGGAGAGGCGUCUCUAUCCCUUAUAGGUUUCAUGGAGUGGUUAGCUUCCAAUUAAGGUGUGGUGAGGCUCUGUUGGCUUUCUUUUUUGUUUGAGAGGUGUUAGUUGCUUUGUAUACCCCGUAUGCUUUGUGCCUUUUCGCCUCUGUUUUAAUGCAAUUUUGUUUUACUUAUCAAAAAAAAAAAUUAUUAUUAUUAUCGAUAGGAAAAUAAACUUUUGAACUAAAGAGUUAACUUCAAUUUAAAUGCAAUAUUUUAUGAAAUUUAACUUUCUAAGACCUAAUGAACUAGAUAAGUUAUUAAAUCUAUACAGAUUUAGCUUUAAGUAUUUGAUCAGAUUUAGAAUGCUAGUGUUGAAAGCUAAAGAUUUAGAAACUAUCACAUGAGCAAUGAACUUUUGAUUGCAGUUCUAGAACGUGUUAAGUAAGACUUAAUACAUCUUUUUGUUUCGUUAAGACUUCUGAGGAAGUGCCUAUAAAAUUUCAUAAAUCCUGGAGAACAAAAUCCUCUUUUCAGGAUGUUUCGAAGUCCAGGGCUGUUAUCAGCUCAUUUUACAUGAAACACACCUCAGACUUUGACAAAAAUAUCACAUAAUUAAGACCACCAUUUUCUUUUCCAUUUAAAAUGUGUAUCUCGCGCCUGUUCCCUUAACACAGAAACUGAUAGAUCAGCAUCCCGCAAAGUUUAAGUUAACUUUUUUGUAUAGAUGGUCAGUACUAAUUUUGAGAAUAUUACAACCCUAAUCUGACCUCUUUGAGCAUUAAGAUAACAAUUUUUCAGUUUUUUAAUCUUCAAAAAUAGGAAACCAAUAGCGGAAAAAAAAAAAGCUCAAUCCAGGCACUCAAAUAUGAAAUAUUGCUCUUUCAUUUAUCUCACCUGAUAAAGUAAGCUUCCAGUGCUGACAGCCACAAGAUUAUGGGCCACUGUAAAUUCCAGAUCAUAGCUGUAUGGAGAAUGUAAUAACUAACAUAAAUUCAUAGUAGAUAUCAUAAAUGGUCAAAGUUACGAAGUACAAAUCAUUAGGGCAUAAUCAAACAGUUAGUACCAGCAACACUGUGAAGUAUCAUCCAUACAAGGGAACCAACAGCGUGCACGCCUAAUCUGGUUAUCAGUGUGUAGCACAUUAUCCUCAAAAUGAAUCCCUGUCUCUGCCCUCUCCACCCAAUAGUCAACACGAACCAAUUUCACAUUCUGCACCCAACAUCAACCUACAUGAGAAACCAAAAAGAGAAGUGUAAACCUCAUCACAACAAUUCACAUUGUCCAAAUUAUAUUAUUAACCGAAUUGUGUUAGUUUAGGAGAGGAGAAAAAAUAAUAAUGGUUCAACCAAAAAUACAGCAGAUUCAGUGCCCAGGGUAAAAUUUUAAGUUUUGAAGAAGAGACAAAUGUAAUAACAGUACAACCUAUAAUAUCAGCUGUACCCUAUUCUGGUUAAAUGCUAACUAUAAAUAAGAAUAAGAUGAAAGCAAAGCAUGUUUGGAACCAAACUUUUUAUUAUGGAGAUGAAAUAGAGGACACACAAAGGAGCAGUCAUAGAAAAUCCUAACAGACACAACAAAGAUGCAGCAUGAACGCUGGUGUGUAUAUGGAAGGCAAAACACAUUUUUUUAUUAUUUUUUGCCUCCACAAACUAUUCUAAACUCUUUUUCUGGAAAAAGGAUAAGACUGCAAGUCACAUUUGACAAGGCUGCUGCAAUGUUUUGAAGCUGUUCUGCUUUGAAUAUAAAUAUGGAGACAGCAAACUAAUUUCAAUGAGGUUGGUGGAGAAGGUGGGGGUAGUUUGCCUCCAGAUUUUUUAUGCACAGGAGGACAACUGCUGAUCAGAUUUGGCUCUUCUUUUGGGUGCCUCUUUUAAAAGCUUGCUUUAGGAUUAGUACUGUGCUUUUUUUUCCCCUUUUUUGGAUGGGCAAUAAGAAUUUUAUUGAAAAGAACCUAACAAAAAGGGAUGCAUCUUGUGUAUGCAUGAAGUAUACAUCGAGUAUGUAAGGCACCAAUGUCUUAAUCCCUGCCUAAAAUGAUUCAAACACAUUAGAUCAAAAAAGCAAAAGAUAUCCAAAAAGAAUUUCAGUGUCACUUCCGAGUUCACCACACCCUCAAGAUGUCCAUGUCAGUCUAAAAACUACCUCCUGAUUAAGGGAGGUGACACACAUGACACUCAAAAAUAAGAGAGCACCAAGAAUCAUAAGGCCCAUGCCACCUUACAAUGUAUGAAAGUAUAGCUAGCUAAUUCCUCAUCUUGAUUGCAAAGGAACGCCAAGUCACAAAAAUCUGAUCCCAUCCUUAAGUUGAUCCUAAGUAAGAAUUUUCUCACAAGCAAUAAAAUUGACUCUAGAUGGCAACCAAGGAACCUAAACCCCCUUGGCAGGAAAAGAGACUUGCUCCCUCAAAUUCAAAAGGCUAUAAAGAGGUUGAAACAAACAAAAACAAAAAAAAGAAAUGUUGUUUCUACUGACACCCAUCCAAGCUAUUAGUACAACCACCACAAACUAAAUGCUCUAAAAAAAAAAAGCUUGCAACAUUUGCAAAGCCCAAUCUAGAAAUUGCUCCAAAAAUUAGGGGUCAACUACCUUGAUCACAGUCCCCCGCUACCAAAAAUCAUCUACCCAGCUACCUAACCAUAAAAAAUAAUCAAAUAAUAAAAUAGAAAAAAGUAAUACCAAAUAAAUGGAAACGAUUCCUCCAUUAGGUAAACCUUAUAUCAAGUGUCAAACUAAAACAUCAUCUCAAGAUCUAUAUUAACAACAAUAACACUUGUACAAGCUUGAAAAGCUUCCCAGCCUUUUCAACUGGCUUUACAGUGACCAACCCCAUACCCUCUCUGGCUUCCUUAAGAUUUGAAUCCUUGCAACUAUCCAAAUUUGCUUUGGAUAACCUUUUUCUAUAAAAAUAUCUUUCCUUGCAUUUUUUUGAAACCAUUUGCCUAGUAAAGUCAUUCAGCAGUUGAGAGGUUUCAAAAAUAUUAGCUUAUAGGAAGAUUUUACAACUUUCUAAGGUCUAGUAAAGUCAUGUUCUCAUUUGUGAUUUAAAGGAAACUGCAGGUUAGAACUAAUAGCAUUCAAAAAGAGUUUUUAAGGGAAAGCAAGUCACAUAAUAAAGAGGUCCACUUGAUUGGGUGAAGUGUGGUGUGCUCUAAGAGAAGUGGAUGAGAGUUAGCCAUUAGAAGUCUUUUAAAUGUUCAAUAAAGAGAAUAGUUUGUAGAGGAGAGUCAAGAGAGAUUACAGAGAAUUGGUGUUCUAGGCUAGUUGAAGUCUUUAGAAAGUCAUUAUAGCAAAGAAUGGGGUGUCUCUACAGAGAGAAUUAGCAUUUCAAUUGGUAAUGACUUAUGAAGACAUGUGAUGUAUAAAAACAUUUGAAGGAGUGGACGAAGCUUUUUUUAUUAGGAGGUGGAGAUGGUUUUUUUUAUAGGUAAGUGAAGUAUAUUGUAGACAGCACCAAAGAAACAAGGAACCAAAGGUACAUAACAUAAACACAAAGUGAAACAAAAGGAAAGCCAAAAAGAGAGAACACAAAAAACAACUCCCACCCUCAAUAGGAACUCAACCGGUGCCCUCAUCUAUAUACAAUCUAACCCAUACUAAAAGAUUACUCAAAAAAUAAAAAAUCAUUUCAUCAUUUGAUUAGACUACUCAUUUUCAUGUUAUUUUCAAUUUCUUCCUUCCAAAUCAUUCAAAAAAUACACAAAUAAGCAGCCCUCCAAACCUUCUUACGCUUCUUUCCCCAAUAAGAAAAAUCAAAACAUUAAGCCAACUAAAAGAGUCAUUAGCCAUAGAAGGCAGCACCCAAACUACACCAAACAAAGAGAAAAACAAUUGCCAUACAACCUUUGUUUUUGCACCAAGUAGAAUGGGAUUAACUGAUUCUUCCUCUCCUUUAUAGAGAAAAACAUUUAUUGACCCUCCAAAGUUGAUUUAGCCUCAACACCUUUUCCUAACAAGCUUUCCAAGAGAAAAACAAUAAAAAUAAAAUAAAAAAAAAGCUCACUUUACAUGAAACCCAUGAAUCCAAAAAUACUCCAAUUAGAAAAGGAACGGGUAUCCCCAGCUCCAAAUAUUAUAGUUUUGAACUCAACCACCAUCCGAGUCAACUCUAUUAUGAUUAAUUGGUACAAAAAGCCUCCACAAAAGGCAUUUUCUUUGUAAGACCCUACUACAAGCCUUAAUUCUCAAAUUUUGCCUUGUUUUUUCCAACCAAGGAGAUGUGGGCUUCCUAGAUGUCUCCAAUGUCAAUAUCUUCCACUUGGAGCCAACUAGGAGGAAAAUUCAAAUAUUUAAUCAUCUAAUUCAAAGGUGAUGGACAAUGGUAAAUAAGUGGUGGCUCUCCAAUCAUUAAGAGAAAUCCACUAUAUUUACCAUUGUCUCUCCAAUCAUAAUGAGAAAUCCACUAACAAUAUAAUCAUUCAUUGCAAGUUGUUCGAUUUAUGGUCUUUGAAGUUCUCCUUGUUUGGGUGGCUUGGGUCCUUGCUCAAAAGAUCAAACAUGUUCUUUAUGGGUUAAUAACAGUUUUGUGGAUCAAAUUUGAAAGAUAACAUAGAAAAUGAUCGUUUUAUGCUUAUUCUAGAAAUAGAAGAAGUUUGUCAGGUUUGAAGCACAAAAUGCUAGAAUUGAAAUAAUACAAAAGGAUUCUAGAAAUGUGUGUGCGUGACAUACACAAGUAGUCGAUCAUAAGGCUAGGGUUGGCUAUUCCUCAAGGCUUUGUUUAUUUAACCAUUUAUCUUAGUUACAGACGCUUUUCACAUAUCCUAGAUGAGCUUCAUUUGGGGGACCUCCCCCUAGCUAGUGGGCUUUUUACAUGGAGUGAUGGAUUGAAUAAUCAGUCCUCAUCUAGGCUGGACGGCUUCCUUAUUUUAGAAGAAUAGGAGAUCAUUUCUCUUACCUGACCCAGAAUAUUUGGCCAAGACUUAUAUCCAAUCAUGAUCCCAUUUUUUUAGAUAAAGGAAGGAUGAAAAGGGGUAAUAUGCCCUUUAGGUUUGAAAUAUGUGGCCGAAAGCAGAAGGGUUCAAAGACUUGGUGAGAAAUUGGUGAGUGAGCUACAAUGUUAAGGAUUCAUACGUUCAUACCUUAGCAGCCAAGCUAAAAGCUCUAAAACAAGCUCUACAAGCUUAGAAUAGAUAGGUGUUCAGGAAUGUUACCACCAAUAAAAUUGUUGCUCUAAAUCAGAUUGGUUUCUAGGAUGUAAGGAAAGGGAAGAUGUUCUUUCAACUAAAGGAAAAUAAGGCUAGAGGGAGGUAGUAGAGGAGUUUAAAAAGUUGCCAGCAAGGGAAGAAGUUUUAUGGAGACAAAAAUCAAGAAUUGUGGCCAAAAAGGAAGAUAAAAAUACUAAUCUUUUCAUAAAAUGGUCAAUGCUCAUAAAAAAAAAAAUUACUUGACUAUAAUAAUGAGGAAUGGAGAAACAUUAUCUAAUCAAAUAGACAUUAAGAAGGGGGUGGCAAAUGUUUUCCAUAAGAACUAAAAUAAUGAUAAAUGGUGCCUAUCAAAAAAACAAAUUAAUCAUAAAUGGAGAAAUUUUAUCCGAUUAUAUAGACAUUAAGGAAAAUGUGGCAAAUGUUUUCCACAGGAUUCUUUCUGAGCUGGAGGUGUGGAGACCAAAUAUCAAUAGAAUGACUUUGGAACCUUAGAGCGAAGAAAGAACCAAUGCUCCUAGAGAUAUCAUUUUCCAAGAAGAAGGUCAUUUCAACCUUUUCUGGUUUGUGUGAGGAUAAAGACCCUAGACUAAAUGGCUUCUCCAGGGCCUUUUGGCAAUUUUGUUAGGACUUUUGAAGAGUAAGGCCAUGGUUUUUUUGUGGAAUUCUACAAACUAUGCUUUUUUUAAGGAAGUUUAAAUGUCACUUUUAUAGUCUUAGUCCCAAAAAAAUGGGCAAAAAAUUUGAAAGACUUUAGACCAAUCAAUUUGGUGGGCAGGGGAUAAACAAGAUUUUAGCAAAAGUCUUAACUAACUUGAAAAAGUGGUAGGAAAAAUGAUUUUUUGAUAGGAAACAACAAUUAUAUGUAUUGAUAGAAAAAGAAUUACAAAAGAAAGAUAAAGAAUCAUCCUUCCAAAGAUAAAACUAAACAACGCACUAAAAGAACAAGAAACUACACUAUGAAAACUACUAGCAAACUCUCUUGGCUAGACCAUCCUGUUGGAACUACACACUACUAGCCAAUCUAGUUGUAAAACGUUAAGGGGAAUGCCCUUAAAAACCACAGAACAAAAAGCCCAAAGAAAAGCAAGGAAAUGAAUGGAAUCCCAAAGAUUCUCUAAAUUCCUAGCUAUGUCCUCAAAUAUCCUAGCAUUUCUUUCUCGCCACACAACCCAAAUUAAAGCAAUGCACGCAUUUUGCCACAGAACUAUCCCUCUCUUGGAAGUGCCAAAACCUUUAUAAUUGAUGGACAUCAUGUCUGAAAUACUUCUCAGAGGAACCCAAUCCAUCUUGGCUAGCUGAAAUAAUCUGUGCCACAACCCCAUUGUCAAAUAACAAGGUAGGAAGAAAAAAUGAUUUUAGAUUCCCAACAUACAUUUGUGGAAAGUAAACAAAUUUUAGAUGUGACCCUCAUAGCUAAUGAAGUCAUUGACUAAAAGCCAAGAAAACUGCAUCACCGCUAAUGGGGUUAUAUGUAAGUAGGACAUUAAGAAGACAUAUGAUCAUAUUAAUUUAGGUUUUUUCCUAACAAUCAUGGAAAAAUGGGAUUUGAUUCCAAGUGAAUAAGAUGGAUUAAGUGGUGUAGCUCUACAACUUGUUUCUCCAUUUUGAUUAACGGGACUUCCAUGGGAUUCUAGAAUCUUAAGACGAGGGGAUCCUCUAUCCCUAUCUCUCUUUCACGUGACCAUGGAGGCACCCUCCCACAUAAAAAAGGCCGCUAAGGAAAGGGACUUCAUAGCAGGGUUCUCAAUUACUAGAAGAGCGGUGGGGAUUCGAAGUGUCAUAUCUGUUAUUUGCUUGUGACACUUAAUGCCACGAAGGAGCUUAGGGAGCAUUUGAGUCAAGCAUUCAUAUGGCUUGAGGCAAUCCAAGGUUUAAAGAUCAUUGUGGAAAAAAAAAUGAGUUGAUCCCAGUAAAGGGGUUGCCAAUAUGAAGGGACUAGAAAGGGGGGUUAGGAUGUAAAGCGGGUACCCUCCCCACCAACUAUUUAGGCCUUCCACUUCAAAUUAUCUCAAGUUUGGAAUGUUGUACACUUAUUCUAGCUUGUCAAUUUACUUUAUAACAUUAUUUGUCAUCCUGAAAAAGAUGAACUCAACAUUGGAAAAGAUAUAAAAGGGAUUUUCUUUAGGGAAUUUUCUUUAGCAGGGGGAGGCUCUUGAAAGGAAGCUAUAUACAGUGAAUUAGUGGACAGUUUGCAUGGAUAAGAAGACCAAGUUUGGGUUCUAAAAUUUUGCCCAAGCUUAACAAGGCUCUUCUCAACAAAUGGUGCUAGAAAUUGCAAUUUAAAGGGAAUCCCUUUGAAAGUAGAUGUUACAAGGAAGUAUGGAUAUGAAGAGGGGGGAAGGUGUUCUAAAGAAGUGAGGGAACGGUAUGCAUUGGGUGUGUCAAAGGCAACCACAAAUGAGAGGAAGAUCUUUAAUAGUAGAACUGGUUUUAGGAUAGGCAAUGGGAGAAAGAUGAAAUUUUGAAAGAAUGGGUGGUGUAGUGACAUACACCUAAGAGAGGCAUUUACAAAAUUAUUCACCUUAGCCACCGCUAAAGAUUCAUGGGCAGCUAUUAUCAUUAAUAUAAUAUAUAUUUUGUUUCUGAUCAAACAAAAAAAAAAAUGCAUGGGUAGAUGAAGCAUGGAGCAAGAUGGAGACGAGGAAGCAAGGUUGUUAUAACCCCAAGUUAGGCUCAUGAUUGAGAGCUAGAGGGUGUGGAGGCCUUUUUAGGAGAUUGCAAACAAAGACAGUUAGUGAUAAUAUAAAGGAUAAAAUGGUUUACUUAAACUCAAAGAGUGGCAUUUUUUUAGUUUUAAUAUUUGUAUUCCUUUUUAUCAAAUGGAAGAAUGAAGGCAUUCCCUUCUAGUACUGUUUAUAAUUCUUUAGUACUAUUAGGGUCAGUUUUUUCACAUAGGAAGCUAUGUGGGGUAGGAUACUAACAUUGGAUCAAUUCAAAGUGAGGAGCUUGAAGAUAUUGAACAAAUGAUAUAAGUGCAAAGGAGAAGAAGAAAUGAUAUAUGGUCUCGUCCUCUUUCACUAUCCUAUGGCAACUAAUUUAUACUUUAUUUGGGUGGGUGAGGCAUUCCUAAAUAAAAGAUGCCUUUUUUAGCCAACAUGGAUCUUUUGUCAAGGAAAAAAAGGAAAAAGAAGUAGUUUGGAGAGUUGUUCCUCCAUGAUUAUUUUGAACCUUGUAAGGGGAGAAGAAUAGAAGAGCAUUUACACAAGAAAAAAAAAAAAGUGGACCCAGCAAUCAAACAAUCUUUUAUGUAAAAUUUCUUAGAGUGGGUUAAACCAUACAUAAGUGAUUGUUCUUUAUCCAUGAUGGACUUUGUUGAGUGGUUAAGCACCUAAUAAGGUGAGGGAGUUGUUUGUUAUGUAUCCCUCUGCCUAGUUUUGACCUUUUGGCACCCUUGUAUACAUCAUCUAUGCUUUUAUGCACCCUUUAGUUAGGCCUUGUUUGUCUAUUAAAAAAAAAAGGGCUCCUUAAAACAACUAGGCGUUGAGCCUUGAGAAAUUGAUGAGUAGAUUCAUAUGUAAAGUAGGAUAUGGACGAUUUUUCAAAUUUCUUUUAACGAUUCAUAUAUCAAUGUGCUUAUGCAAUGACUCAAGGAAAAUUUUAUAGCGCCCACAAUGGAAAAAUUCAAGCUUACAUAUAUGUUUGUAACUCAAUUAAUGCAGCCUGAAAAAUAUAUUACCAUCAUGACACAUGCAAGACAAACCAGAAGAGAACUACAUCCAGAGAUCACAUGGAAAUCAGAGGAUUCUCGGAGCAGCAUGGGAUGUAUCUUGAGUUGAUAGUUUAAUUGUAAAUUCAAAGCGUCUUGGUGCUUUCAUGUUUCGCCUUCAGAAUACUGAUUUUCAUAAGACCUAAUCUUUUAGGGGGAUGCAUCUUAACACGAUAAUCAAAUUCAACAGAAUAGUUUUUCACAUUUUAGGCAUAUCUGAUUACCAAGCAUUGCCUUUUUUGGGAUGCACAAUGUCAAUUUCUAAAUUUCUGUUUUCCCUUUAUCAUAUUUUGUGCAAUGGAUCCUUAUUUGAGUUUUCAACAGGUUCUCAAGCCUAUAUUCCUCAGUUUCACGAAAAUUUUGUUUGUUUUUGUGCCUCUAUAUAUAUGUAGACAUACGUGUAAUCUCUAGAUAUGACCCAAUUGAAUUCAUUAAAUGCAUCACUAAUGAUAAUAACUAUAACCUGCUUGGGUUCACCAGAGGAAUGCAACCCAUUCUCCAAACUCUGUUGACCUUGCUGUUCACUGGCUGACUUUUCAGGUUUACAACACAUGAUCAGUAAGUUUGGAUCCAAUUCUCUCUCAAGAGCUGAAACAUACAUCGAACUUGCAACGUCAGCAGCUGAACUAGCCGAUAAGACCGAGCUCCAUCUUUUCUCACUUUCAGUAUGUUGAUGAUGUGGGUAAAAUUCAAAUUCAGUAGGCUCUCCAUCAACAGACACACUCUCGAUCACUAAAUUUUCAGCAUGUAACCCAACAAUCCCAAUAUCCGGAACAGCAAUUUCCAACUCGGUGUAACUAAAAAACAAAAAAUUCAAACAAGAAUACUCAGAAAAACCUGCCAACAGAAAUGCAAAUAAAUACCAAUGAAUAUGAAUUAAAACUUUCAGAAAAAUUUGUAGUAAUAUAACCCAAUUAAUCAAGCUUUAUGAGCUAAAUGUAAUAAAUUCCUUAAGAAGCAAGUCGACAACCACAUGCACCUAAAACGCUCAAUUAUGGACAAAUCCAAAUCACAUACAGGAACACUAAGUAGAUGCACCGUGAGUUCAUAAUCUCCACCUUGCGCUAACUAUAAAUGGUUUCUGAUAGUGAAUCAAUAUGGAAAACAGAAACAUCAACUAGUUGAGCUGAAUUGCCCAAUUCCCGAAGUCAAAUCUUCACAGGGAUUUGGAUCAGUACAAAAUCUUAAACCACCAAGCACAAAAGCAUAAAAAAUAGGAGAAAUUUAGAGAGAGGAAAACAAACGAAGCUAUGGAAAAUGGAGAAGUGCGAGUGAGGAGCUUGAGACGAACCCGUAAAUCCGCCGCUUGUCGAUAUCGAUAGAAAGGCAGAGCUUUUGGUGACGAACCACGGCUCGAGAAUUGGAAUUCUCGGGCUUCGUGUUGUCGUCGGUCUUCGGCUUGCGAGGCUUCGCCAUGGCUAUGGCUUCUCUUCGAAGAGCUUGUUGUAGCGGGCGACAGGGCUUUAUUUAUAGGCAGCCCUUGCCCUUCGGGGGGACGCUGGACACUGCGUUAGGGGCAGCUAGGGCUCGAUGUGCCCUAAGUUUGUUAUUCCCAUCUCAACCGUACAUCUUUCUGAUACGGUGAUCUGAAGGCUGACGUGAGGUUUUGUUCCACGUGUUAUGUGGAAUCAUUUCCACUGAAUCCCUCCCUGUGAUGAUAUUCCUGUUUUGCCCCGGUAAUAUAUGCUCAACAUGACACGUCACGAAUCCGACGUUUAUGCUGAGGUCGUCUUUUCCCUCGGUAAAUCUCUCCUAAUCGGUAGUUCUUUUCUUUUAAAGGCUAAACCACCUUUAUUAAUAAUUAUUCCUUCAAUACUUCUUCUAUCUUUAAUUCUACCACGAUUAACGGUUUAUCUUUAAAUUUCUGCACCCUCAAAGUUUUAUUUCAAGAAUCAAUCUAUUUAUUAAUUUUAUAGUUUAUUUUAUAAUAAUUAUUUUUAUUUUAAAAUUUAUUUGAUUAUUACUUAUGAAAAAAUUAUUUAUUAUUAAUUCAUUUAAUAUAAAGAAAAACCGAACACUAUAAAUUAUAAGGAGAGAUACGAAAUAAUUGUUAAUUAGGAAAACAAACAUGUAAAUUGUCAAAUCAUAUGCCAAAUUAAUCUAUCAAUUUCUUAAAAGUUUUAAUUUAUGGAUUCGCAUACAUAUCAUAAUACUUAACAAAUAUUAUAUAUCUUUAAAUCUUUUAGAGUCACUUUCAUUGAACAUAUAAAAAGUUUUAAAACAAAAUAGUAACAAUAAUUAAAAUGGCAGCAAUUAUCAAAAUCAAAAUAAUAAAAUUAAAAUCAAUAGAGCAAUUAAAAUAUUUGAAUUUUUUUUUUAUUUACUUAUGAAGACAGGUGAAAUAUGAUAAAAAAAAAAAUAGAAAUAUGAAUAAAGAUUAGGCAAUAAAAAUAAAGUAAAAUCAAAAACAAAUUUAUUUAAACAAGUAGAAGUUGUAUUUAUUUGUUUUCAAAAAAAAAAAAAGAAAAUAUAAAGAAAUAAAGUAAAUAUUAAAAAAAAACCCAUAAGAAAAACAAAUAAAGUAAAAACUUGAUUUUUUUUUCUAUAUUUUUUUUAUAAAAUUAUUAAUUUUAAUUCAUUGAUGAUUUACACCCCUUCUUAUUUGUGUUCAACAUCACAAAUUUGAAAUUACUUACCACUAAAAUCAACUUAAAAAUCACUUGAUAUGUCAAAACCCAAACAACCAUUUGAAAUGAGCAAAAUACAACUCAUCAUUUUUAAAUUUUAUCUUUUAUAAAAUAAUUUUUUUUGAAAUUGAAUCAUUUUCAAUUAAAAAUUAACAUGUUAAAAUAAUAUAUAUGACGAUAUUGCUCUAAAUCAGUAGCGGCUAAAUCUUGCUUAUUAGGAAUAGGGUAUGUUAUCCAUUGUAAUGCUUUAUUUAAAGGUUUAUAAUUAAUGAUUAAUCUUGGUGCUCCAAAGGUCAAUAAAAUUUGCUGACAAAUUUCCUGAUGAAAUAAAAGAUAAAAAACAAUUGUAAAGAUUUCUAAGUUGUUUAAAUUAUGUUUCUGAUUACUUCAAAGAUUUGAGAAUCAUUUGUGAACCCUUAUACAAAAGACUUAUAAAAAAUGCAUCUGCAUAGACUGAGCAUCAUACUAGUUUGGUCGAAAAACGAGUUUUCAAAUGAUCAUUUGAAUUGAAGUUGACUCAUUGAGGAAAGAUGUAAGAAAUAAGGAAUUUCUUCAUAAUUGAACUCUGGCUCAAUGAAAGCAAUUUCUAAGGUUUUAGGUUUUUUGACAUAUUGGUUAUAAGAAAAUGAAGGAGAAGGAGAAGGUAAUGUUUAAAUAGUGUUAGGGCUAGAUUGUUUCUGAACAUCAAUAUUUUUAGGGGUUGAUUUAGAAGCUUGAAUAAAGCUUUUUGAAGGUUGAAAAUGAGGAAAAUCUGGACUCAAAACUUGAAAGGAAUUUGAUGUUUGUAAUGGAAAAGUAUAUAUAUUAUUUUAUUAUUUGCAAUCAUGAUAAUACGGAUUUAACAGGUCUUUAGUGUCUUUUAUUAUGAUGUAUUUUAUUAAGAGUGUGUUAGGUAAUGGUUUUAGAAAGUGCUUUUAAUUUAAAAAAUAUAUUUGGGAAAAAGUGAAAUGUUUGGUAAAAUUUAGAAAAUUAUUUUUAAAUUUUAAAAAAUCAUUUACAAUAUUGAAAAAUCAAUUAUAAUGUUUUUUGAAUGAAUAUUUGAUAAAUAAUUUAUAUAUAUAUAUUAAGAGAAAAUACUUCUACUAACGAGACUCUGUGUAUAAAAACUAUAAAUAAUUAAAAAAGAAAAAAAAACACACUUUAAAGGUGUGUUUAACAGUGCUUCUGGUGUUUUUAGUAAAAAUGUUUUGAGGAAAAUCAUAUAUCAAGCAUUUGUUCAUAAAACAAUACAAGUGAUUUUGUAAUAUUCUAAACGAUUAAAAGAGUACGUUUGAUAGUAAUUUUAUGAAGUGUUUUUAACAUUUUUAACACUUAAAAGAUAAAAAAUUUAUAAUGUUAAAAAUAUUAUAAACGCUUCCAAAAUCAUUGUCAAACGCACUUUUAUUAGAUUUUAAAAAAUGUUUUUUUUAAUUUUACUAAACACUUGUUUUUUUUAUUUUCAAGAACAUUUUUCAAAAUCACUAGAGUGUGUAUGGUAGUAUUUUUUGAUUUGAAAUUUUUUUAAUAGAAGUGUGUUUAUUUAUAAAUGUUUUUAGAAAAAUUACCUAUAAAGUGUUUCUUCAUAAAAUACGUGAUUUUUUUUUAAAUUAUAAGUGAUUUUUCAUAUUUUAAAAAUAUUUUUUAAUUUUUUGUCGAACAUCCUUUUUUUUUUUUUUUUUUUUUUUUUUCUAAAAACACUUUUUAAGUUAAAAACACUCCAUAAAAUCACUAUAAAAAAAUGCUUUAAUUAUUAAAGAAUCUUAUAGAGCAUAUAAACAUCGCACGGAUCCACUAAUUAAAGGUUUAUCUAUAUGUUUCAAGAGCAAUUGUCCCACAUCGGUUUAUUAAAACCCGGGAAAUUAUUGUAUCAUAUGUAUUGUGUAUAUAUUACAUACAUGUGAUGGAUCACUUGAUGUGUGCACAUCCUUUUUAUUUAAAUGAUGACGACGUGUGAAUUUGAGAGAUUUUGCGUGCCCUUUAUGCCUAGUCAUUCCAUAGAACACUUGCCCCCAUUGCCUCGCCUUUUCUAGCCUCUUCUUCUUGCUUGCUCACUUUGCUCUUGUCUUAGUGAUCGAGUAUUUGUGUAUGAUUAUACAGUACAAGUGGGAGAAUUGUUGGAAUUUUUGUGUAUGCACUUGCAUGAUUACAUAACAAUUCACUCAACGGUCAAAAUUAUUUUUAUUGGGUGACGGAUUGUGGGCCAUAAACACUGCAUGAAGGUCGUGGGCUCACACUUCUAUAUAUUGAAACCUUACCUAGCCCAUUGGGUUAAGGGAAGCCCGGCCCGGUAGUUUAUCAUGUUGGUUAUAAUCAAUAGACACCAAUGGGUGUGAGUGCUAUUGAUAUGACACAACAUUGAAUCUUGAAAAAGGAAUAUUCUCCCAGUUAGCUGGGCAUAUGGGAUUUCUUGUUCCAGAAAUUGAGCAAAGUUCUACCAUCAAAGUGGAUUGUCAGCCUGGCAUUUAGUAGUCCAAACAUGAUGAAGAUAAGGGAGAUGAUGAUGAUGAUGAUGGUUUUGAAUGGGAAGAGGCUCCCAACUGCAGGUACACAUCAAUGAUAUUUGUUAACCUACUUUCAUUUUCUCAACUUAAAUUUUGAAAAUCUGCAGAAUCUCCCUUUGGUAAUCAAAUAGUGAUAAAAUUUAAGUAAUUUCUUGAACUCCUCAAAUUUCCUUAAUAAUAAGGAAAAAAAUUGCUUGUUUAUUAAGUUAGCCAAUUGAAAUAAGUAUUUUGUGGAAUUUGACUCAGAAAUGUGGUUUCUCACUACAUUUCCUUGAAUUAAGUAGUUUUCUUGAUUUUCAAUUGCCUACCAUAUUGCCUUUCUUGGUGGUUAAGCGUGUCAUUGCCCAACAUUGCAUGAAAUACAAGUGAAAGUUUCUAGAUCACCACUCAAAAUUUCAAGCUGAUGCUUGAGGGAAAGACGAUAGGAUGAUAUAUACAUAGACCGGGAAGAGAGUUAAGUAGUAAAAUAUUUCUUAACUCUAUGAAAUUUAUCCUAACAGUUUUUCUCAUGAUCCGUUAGGACAUUGAGUUUUGUUUGUAAUUAUUGACAAUUUUAUUCCUAUUCAUAUUGGCUUAAGAAAUUUUUUAGAUAGUGAAUUACUUUUCAAUGAAGAUUUAAUAUUGUUAUUGGUUUAAUCAGAAAGUCAUAAGUAAGUCUAAAAAGGUUUGUUAAGUGGCAAGUUAGGUGAUUAAAGGGUUAAAAUAAAUCGAUUGAUAAUUUUUCUAUGAACUUAAAUUGCUUAAAUCAAUGUUUUGAAAAAAUGGAUAAUGCUCAAGCGUUUAUCUAACACUUAAGCACUUGAGACACUCGAGUGGUAGUUAAGUGCACUUGAGUAAUUGUUUAGAAUCAAUCAGAAUAUUAUAGAAUUCGUUUUUGAAAUCACGAGUAUUCUUUUUGGUAAUUUCUAAAUACCGAUUUUCUAAGUCUGUAGGCCUAUAUAAACCAUCUUUUAAUCAAUUUAGAAUUGGACAUAUUAUUCCAAAUUCUUUCAAAGAUACAAUAUUUGAAUUUUGGGUUGUUAGAAGACUUGCAUUCCUUCAACAAAGCUGGGGAUAAUUCAUUAAAGUGGUUGGAUAUUGUUGCAUUACAUACGUGGAUCAAGUUGUAAGUUAUAAAAAGUAAGUUUUAGAAGUAAAUUAUUAGGUAAUUCUAUAUAACAAGAUUUCACAUAGUAAAUUUUAGAUUAGAAAUUUUAAACCCAUGGUUUUUUAUCUCCAUAAGGGAAGUUUUUCGCGUAAAAAAAAUUAUCUGUCCUUUGUGCAAUUGUUUCUUGCAUUGAUUAUUCAUAUUGUCUCCCAGGUUUAAAUUAAUUUAAAAUGGAUUAAAUUAAUCUCAUAAUUAAUUGUUUGGGUACAAGAAUUAAUUAAUAUUCUAAUUUUUUUAAAAUACACCCAUUCACCUCAUCUCGGUGUCUUUGUUUUUCCAUGAUCUUUUAUCAGUCAUGCUGAUAUAUCAUUGGAAGAUCUUGAACCCUUACAAAAUACCAAUUUUUGUGUUUGUUUUGGUUACAUACAGAAAAUUUCUGCAUUAAUGCAUUUAGUUGAAGAUUGCAGGUCUUUUCCCAUGAUUGAGAUUUAAGCCCAUGGGCAUAAGUUUCUUGAAUGUAGUCAGUAAGUAGGCAGGUGAUACGACUAGGAGGGUUGAUUAUGUCGGUGGAUUAUAGUGUUGAAUCCAUUGUAUUUGGUAGGUUAUAGUCAAAAGAUGACAUUAUUCAGCAGGUUCAAUCAACCUCAUUAGUCGCCAUGAUAAACAUAUACUUGAAUCAAUACCAUAUAUAUACCAACUGGGUCUUGGUUAAUUUGUAUGCAGAAAUAGAAAAAUAACAUAAAAUUACCCAAUCAGAUCCUUCCCAUUCUUGUAAGGAUGUAAGAAGGAACCCUCACCUCCCCAUCUGUGGUUGAUCCUCAGCUGCGUGUGGGUGCCCAUGUGUGCUUGUUCAUGCGUGAGAAAAAAGCGCACAUUUGACUUUUUUUGGCGAGCAUCAUUUUCUAAAGGGGCGCCCACCAACUGUCUUGACAUUUUUUCCAAAGGGUGGUUAGAGAAAUAGGAUCCCAAUUGUCUGAUGGUCAAUAUGAUCCCCAUCGUGAUAAGGAAAAAAAAAAGGGGGGGGCCUCAAUGGUGGGCCAACUCACACUUCCAUAUCAUAAGAUGAGUCAUGUGUGGGGGAAAGUAGUUCACCUUCUCUCUCUCGAUUUCGUCCCAGGCCCCAUCUCUCCAUUGUGGGCCAACUCACACUUCCAAAAACAAGAAGCCUCUUUGUUACACAUAUAUAAGAAAGGUGUUAAUGCUUGUUUCAUCUCCUUUAGUUGUUUUGGUCAUCUCUACAUAUCAUUGAGUGUUUGACAUUCUGCUUUUAAUGGCCCUUUUGUUCCUUGAAGGCUAAGAAAGUUGCUUUGGAACAAUGGUCGACAGUCUUGGAGCUCCCUCUCAGUCUCCGCAUGUACUAAUAUUUAAAAAACAGUUCCUGAACAUGAAGCCAAAACACUCUCCAAUGUCAACCUUAGAGUUACAUUUCUUAUACCACUAGCCUAGCUACCACAUUCAAGCUGUCAAAGCUUUUACAAAAACCCCACUCUAUCUCCAUCUUCUCUCGAGCUAUCUCUCUCCCCCCGUUUCUUCUCCUCCAUGCUCCCUCUUCUCUUCCAUUUUCUCUCCCAUCCAUGGCUCCCAAGCUCACCCCACAAUCAUUAAGUAUCAUCCUGUGCCUCUCUCUCCUCCUCCUCUUCUUUCUUGGACUGGGUAGCUUCAUUUCCAUUAAACCCACCAGAAACAGCAUCUCCCAUAGCAUCAACAGAAAAGUACUGGCCACCAAGUUCGACUUCACAGCAUUUCAUGGAGAGUCCCAUUCAAGGCACCUCCCUCCGCAACCAGACCCGGCUGAUUCCGAGAUCGAUCCCCUCUAUGGUGUCGAGAAGCGCAAGGUCCCAACCGGCCCCAAUCCCUUGCACCAUUGACAGGUUUCUCGCAUCAACAUAUAUGCGCUAGCUACCUUCUUCUCUCUUCAUGUAAUAUUCUUAUUGUUGUAAUAACAAUUUUCUCAUAAAACAAACAAAAAAAAAAAAAAACCAGAAACCACAGAUCUCUACCGAGAUUUCUUCCAUGAUCACUUCCAUGAUCUUACAAUUUUCAAAUCAAUACACCCCAUUUGUAUCAAAUGAUUCAAAUCUGAAUGUGUUCAUGCUUUUUUUUUUUUCUUUUUAAUUGUAUUCUGACAAGUAUAUUAUAAAUACGAGCAUGUAAGUAUUUGUAUUUUUUUAUGUGAUGAAUAUAGUUGUAUUUGGAGGACAAUUGGAAUGGGAAAAUGAAAUUAAGAUCUACAGUUAUAAAAUAAAGUUUACAAUUGGAAUGGGUAUGAUGAUAGGAAGUUUGAAAAUUUUUUGGAUGGAUCAUUAUUUUAUACUGGGGCUGACUUAUGGGGUAUCUCAUAUCUAUAAUAAUAUUAUUAUGGUAGGUUUAGUGGGGUUAGGGAUAAGAGUUGGAAGAGUGAACGUGUAGGGCUGUUGAGAGCUGACCCAAUAGGCAUACACCAAGUGCCUAGAAUGGUUGACUUUGGUUCAUGUUGGGUCUGUGUAUAGUAAAUUAGAAAUGGAAUGGUCACAUGCGUUUGGAAGUGGGAUUUUAUUUCAAUAUUUUUUGUGUUUGAACUUUGAUGAGCAUCUUGCUGUGUGAAUUGCUCAAAACCCAAAAGUCAAAACUGCUGUGAAGCAAUUAUUGAGUUGAAGGAGGAUCAUGGCAAGUGGCGAUGCCACUUGAACGUGGGUGAUUCUUUCUUUCAUGAAACCAUCAUGCCCAUUUCGCAGCCAAAAUCAGAGAAGCAGAGAGAGAGAGAGAGAGAGGGAGGGAGGGAGAGAGUGGCGAUGCCACUUGAACGUGGGCGAUUCUUUCUUUUCGUAGCCAAAAUCAGAGAUGCAGAGAGAGAGAGAGAGAGAGAGAGAGGGAGGGAGGGAGGGAGGGAGAGCGAGAGAGGGAAUGAUUAAUUUGUUUGAUGGGUGGAUGAUAGAUGUCUAUGGAUGGAUUAUAAUUUUUGAAAGGUAUUUCUGUAUAAUUCACAACUACAAGAAAUAAUAAUUUCUGAUUUUCAUAUUUUUUUAAUUAUAAAAUUUUUGAACAAAAUUAAUCUAUACCAAAGGUCCGACGUAUUCAGGUCUAAUACGUUGUUGUAUAUUUCUCUUUCUUUCCACACGAUUGCUAGUACACUUAUUAUGAUUCCCAAUACAAUAAUAAAAAUAGGUACAGAAAAAAGAAUUGAUAUCUUGUACUUUUGGUGUAUUAAUUAUCAUUUCAAUGAUCAACUUCUCUUAUAAUUAUAUUUAUGCUACCGAGUAUCGUCAUAACUUUAGCCAAUUUCAUUAUUUUAACUAAUUAAGGAAGAAUUUGUAAAUUGAUAAAACCUGACGGUCAAAUUUUCCAUCUCCAAGGAAAAACACUUUGACCUCCUAUCAGAAAAAUUUCAAUUCUCCCUUUGGGGCUUCAACUCUCACAUAAAGUUCUUAAAAAAUAAUUUUUGAUGUCUUAUCACAAUAUUAUUGUUACAAAGUAUAAGAUAACAAAAUUACAAAAUUCUAAAAAAAAAUUAUUAGUCUAUUGUGAACAUUGUGACAAAAUUAAAUAAAUAAAAAGUAUCUAAAAAAUAUAUUGAUAUUUUAUAGCUAAGAAAUUUAGAAAAAAUUAUAAAUUUGCAAUAACAAAACAUUUCAUCCGAUUUAUUUUUUUAAAAAAAACUUCAAAAAUUUUCAAUAAUCUUACAUGUCCAAAACUUCAAGAUUUCAAAAGGUACAAAGAUUGCUUUUAUAGGUCUAGCUCUUUCUCCAAAUCUUAAAUUAAAGAGUUAGAUGAAAAGGAGAAACAAGAUGGGAAAAAAGAGUUACAAAAAUUUUGUUCAUAUGAUACGAUAUCUUAGUAGUCCAUUCAAAAGGAAAAAAAAAUAAACAAAAUAAUAUAAAAAGUCAAAAGUCUUCCCAUGAAGCAAAAUUCCAAAACAAAAAUAUAAAAAAAUAGUAAUAAAUCAAAAUCUUCUAACAAAACAACGACUUUAAAAAAGACUCCAAAAUGUAGAAAAAUAGGAUAUUAUUCAAAAGACUAUUAAUUAGAAAAUAAAAUCAAUUAUUUGGAAAUAAGUGACAGACUCAAAACUUGAAUGAUUAAUAAAUAAUAAGAUGAAAUUAAGUAUUUUAAAUAAAAAAUUCAAAUAUUAAUAACUCAACAAAUAUCACGUGAAAAGUCAAAUCAAGAUGAAUCGGAUAAUAAAAAAAUAUAUGAUGAAAUUUGUGCAUACUUCUAUAAAACAAUAAAUUUGAUUCCGAAAUAACUAAAUUAUUUAUAAUAUCUAAUAAGUAAUUUUUCAACCUUUAUAAUAUGAAUUUGAUACAAAUUAAAUUAUUUAAUAAUUAUACUAAUUAACCCAAUUAUAAUUUUAAAGCUCAUUUUUUAAUAAAUAUAUUAAUUCAAUCAUCGAUAUGUUUGAUUUUGACUUUAAUCAUAUAAACUUAUACAAGGUCUAAUUCAACCCGAUUAUUAAAUGGAUUAAAUAAGUUACACGAAAUAUUACUUAUUUAAUAAUUAAGAUGUUAAUAUUUAUAUUCUGAUUAUUAUUCGUAUCAUAUUUUGAUUGAUCUAUUUAGUAGAAUGUUUAGGCUUUGAUACGAUACGAGCAUGACCUACUAACACCAAUUGUCAACCCUAAGAUUAGUAUAUGUUAAUAAAGUUGAGAAAAGUAGAAACUUAGUCACUUAAUUUGUAUGCUAAAAAAUGCUUUAAAUUAUUAGGACAACAAAAUCACUAUCAAUGUAUAGGAUGAGUAUGAUUACAUGAGGACGCCGCUGGACUCGACGUAGCCCACUAAGAUCAAUCCUGAAUAGGCCAAGCCCAUAAUGGAGAAUGACCCACAUUAAUGACAUGACCCAGCUUGAACAGUUAGUUUGGCCCAUUAAACUGAGCCCUUGAUAUGAUUUUCCUCUCCACGUGGGGUGUUGGUUCAAAGGGUACAUUUUGGCUAUUAAACCUCUCAAGUAUUAUUCAAAAUAGCUCAUUUGAUUAAGUAUUAUAUUUUUCUAUUUUUUUUUCCAAUAAAAUUGUUUGAAACCGUAUUUUGAAACCUUAUAACUAUGAUUUUAAUAUAAAUUCUAGAAAUCGGAUUUUGAAACUAUUGCUUUAAUACACAUUUAGAAAUCACAUUUUGAAAUUGCGGUUUCUAAUUUUGAUAAAAAAAAAACGAUAUUUUUAAAAUUUGACUUCAAAUUAAUUUAAAGAGAAAUUUAAAAAUUAUAUUUUAAAACUAUAAUCUUAAUAUAAAGUUAAAAACUAUAUUUUGAAAUUACGAUUUUGGUAUAUAUUUAGAUACCUCAUUUUGAAACUACCUCAAAGAAAAUUCCAAUAAAAGCUUUUUCAACAAAUAUUUUCAAUGCUUGGGUUGAACUUUCUCAACACAAACUCAAUUGGGGUUGAUUUAGGCAACCCCAGUGUAGUGUAGCCUGAACUCAAUUCAAUGUUUUUACAAUUUUAUAAUAUUUAUUAUCAUGUAUAAUAAUAUUAAUUUUUUUUAUAUAUAUUUUAAAGAAAAAAAUAUCAAUUUAUAAUUAAUUAUAUACUUUUUCUUUUUAAAAAAGGAUAUAUAAAUUUAUUUUUACUUUUUUAUUAUUAUCUUGAAAUUUUGUCUUAUUUAUUAUUUAAAUUUUGGUACAAAUAUGUAGAUAAAAAAAUUCACUAUGAAUGACUUUUAAGUUGUGCAAUCCCAAUAACCCAACCAAUUUGUGUUUAGCUUGACUAACACGAAGUCAACUCGAGUUUAGAAAAAUAAAUUUAGGGCUUUUCUUGAAUAUAUUGAGUUAGAGGUCGGGUUGAGUUGAACUUGGGUUAAUCGUUUCUUAAUUUGGGUUAGGUUCAGAUUAACUAUCAAUCUGACCAACCCACCUAAGUUCAAGUCCUACCUAUAACCUUAUAUUAAAGGGAAAACCUAAAAUAAAAAAAAUAAACAAAAGGAGCAAAUAAAACCUCUAAUAUUUAUGCAUGAAGUAUGAGUCAAUGGUCAAAUUUGAACAAUACAAUGGUAAGACUUCUAAACGAUAUGAAUUUAAAUGUAUAAUUAUAUUUGUAUCCUAAUUGUAAGGUUAGACCAUGUAACUUGUUUAAUAAACAACUUAUGUUCAAAUUUGAUUGUUCUAGUUGUUCAAUUUGUUUCACUUAUUCAUUUCAUUAUAUAAUGCUAACAUGAGUAUGACCCCAACUCCAUACGAGGUCAUGGUUCAUUCAACAAAUAACCAUUUCAAAACUAUAAAAUAAAAAAUCAUAUUUAAAAUAAUAAUAAAUAUGAUAUAAUUUAAAAAUCAAACAAUCAAAACUAAUUGCAUUAUUCAAAGUAAAAUUUUAUACAUUUAAAAUUUAAAGAAAGUUCUAAAUGGGUGACGAAUUGGAAGUUUAUUUUUUCCUUCUAUUUUAUAAGAACAAUAUAAUUAAAAAAUUAAUUAAUUAAUUAAGUCAUUAAAUUGAUUUACCGGACUCUCUCGUUGCCGGGGUUAUAAGGUCGAAGUCAAUGCUCCGCGUUGCAAUAACAAUUGGAAUUGUCGUGCAACUUUGGCAAUUUAAGGUGGGUGUGCAUUAAUAAAGAAGUGGUCUUCUUGGGAGGGAAAACAAAAUACAGGGAUGGACCACUGUCUCCUUAGUCCUUACUUCUAUUUCAAGGCCAACAUCCGACAUCGAUUCCAUGGAUUGAACUAUGAAGGCUUUUAAUACAAGCCCAACUACCAUAAUUAUUAAGGAUUAUCGUGUCCGGUUGGAAGUUGGAACCCUAUCCGUUACCAAUACGUCUUCUUCAUACCACACAACCAUUUUACACUCGUUCAUAUUUGUUAUUUUGAAUCUUUGAUGGUUAAGAAUAAGUAUGAGCUUGGGACUUGUUUGGUGUGAGCUUUAUUUUAAGUAGGAAUGGUAAAAAAACUCGUCAGAUCCAAAAGGGGAGCAAUAAUCAGGGACGGGAACCUAUUUUGAUUAUAUAAUAAUAAUAAUAGCAAUAAUAAUUAAAUAUACAUUUAUGAAAUUAAAAACAUUAAUUCCCAACCCAUUUACCUCCCUAAUUUAAGAAACAAUGAUCCCGUUUAAAUGAAAUAUAUAACGUUAUUUUUCAAUGCUUAAAAUAAAAUAAAAUUGCAUUUCAAUAUUUUUAUUUUAAAAAAUAAAAUCUCUUUUACGUCUAAUAAUAUUUAUAAUUAAAAUAUUAUAUAUAUAUAUAUAUAUAUAUUAAAUAAUGCAUGUAUUACUAUGUUUUUUAGUUCUAUUUUUUUUUACCAUGGAUUUAAUUUUAUAAUAAAAAAUUAUUCUAUAAAAUAAGAAUUAUAAAAAAUUAAAAUUCAUAAAAAAAUAUAAAUUUAUGAUUUAUAAUAUAAUAUAUUUCGUCAUUUAUCUUAUCACAUGUCUGAUUAAAAAAUAAAUAAUGAAAUAAUUUAUUGAUUACUACCCAAAUAAUUGAAUAAAAGAUAAAAUAUAUUAUCUCGUUUUCUAUUCUGUCUCAUAUUAUAUAUGGAAUCAACCAAACAUAAUUAAAAGAAAUAACUCUUAAAGGUUUUGAGUUUCUUAAUAUGUUUGGUAAUUUUUUUAUAUUAAAAUUCGGACUAAAAUUAAAAAAUAUAGGUCUGCUUGUGUUUUUUUUUUUCUUUUAAAUUUUAUAACUAUAAUUUUAUUUUUUAGUUUUUAAUUUUUAAAUUCAUUCAUUACAUCCAAAUUUUUUAUUUUAUUUUAGUAAAUUAAUUUGUUUAGUUAAGAGAUGUUUGAUACUAAUUACAACUUUGCUCAUUUAAUCCUCACACAAUGAAAUCUUUAAAUUUUUUUAAUCAUCUUUAAUGUGUACUAAUUUAGCUCUGUUUUAACUUUUUGUUUUCCUUAACCUUGUCAUUUUAAUUAUGUAUUUGAAUUAAUACAAUCACAAAGUUUUAUUUUAUGUAUUUAUAUUUUUUAUUAGAAAUAAAAAAAUUAAAUAUAACUUUACCUUUAAAACUUUUAAUAUGCUUUACACUUUGUCCCAUUUCAUUCAAAACCUAAUAUUUUACCUCCUAAACUUUUUAAAUACCAAUAUUUUGUCACAAACCUAUUAUAAAAUUACAAAAGAAAUUGAUAUGUUUUGCACUUUGAUUCAAACACUAAUAUGUAAUUAGAUAAAAUCAACUUUAAAUUAAUAGUCUUAAAGUGAAAUUUCUCAAAUACUUUCAAACUACAGUGACUAUCAGUCUUAAUUUUUUUUUUUUUUAUCUUAGAAGGAUAUUUACAUGACUAUUCGUGAUUUUCGCAUACAACCAUGAAGAAGUUUGAUGAACUUGAACUUGGAUAAUAAAUAUUUUUCUUUGUAUUUUAACUUGUUUACUUACCUAACAAAUUAUUUAUUGAUUUUUUAGUAAGUUUUGGAAGCAAAGUGUCAUAUUUUAACAAAUUUGAGGAACAAAGUAUUGAGUUUUAAAUGUUAUGAGACAAAGUGUAAAACACGAGACCGAUAAAAAGAGUAAAAUAUAUUUAAUCUUAUAAAAAAUUAUUCAAAAUUUUUAUUUAAUUUAUUUUUAAAUUAAAAAUUGACUCUAACGUUUUCGUUCUAGGCAAUUAUAAAAUGAAGUGAAAGGAAUCCAAUAGAAAAGUUGCCUCAAAUGCGAGCUGAAUCGUUUCCGAAUAUGAUCCACUUGAAUUCUUGUGGAGUAAUCAUUUUAGUAAAGACCUACACACUUAGAAAAAAGAAAAAAAAGGUGUCUUAAUAAUCGUAAUUUGACCACAAAGCUUAUAAUAUGCCCUUCCAUGAUUCAAAAUAAGGCCUUGAGUUGGUCAAUAAGCUUGAAACCAAACCAAUUAUACCCAAUGGAAGCCAAGUGCCACGUUAUCUCACACAACAUAUGCUUGGAAACGUCUUGGAAUGUGUCAUUUUUGCUUGUUGGAAAAGCUCGAUCCCUGGCUGCGACUUUUGAAUAAUGCUGGGGAACUUCCAUGGAAAACGUUGGGGAAGUGUUGAAACGUUUUCGAGAAGGCUAAGAAGUAUGCGUAGAAAUUUCUAUUUUCCCACAUGCACAAUUUGGUAAUUUUCCUUUUUGAUUUUCUUGCCCAUUUCGUUUUUAAAUGAUUUGACCUUUUUCCUUCCUUUAUAAUUCUUUUUUUUUUUUUGAGUAAAUUAUAAAAAAUUAUUUCUAUGCUUUCACGGGUGACAUAUGUAUGUACGACUAUGUUCACAAAAAAGAUUUGAUAUUAAUAUAAAUUAAGUCAUUAAAUUAUUAAAUUAAUUUGUCAAACAUGCCAUUAAUUCAACCUUUAAAUUGUUUUAAAUAAUAUUAAUUUUAAAUUAUGCUUAAAUAUUAAAUAAUCAUCAUUAUUAGUAUUUUCUCAUAAAUAAAUAAAAACAUUCAUAUGAUUUAAACAAUAUAUGGAAUUAUAUUAGUUUAAUAUUCAUAAAAAUAUUUAUUUUUCUCAAUGGAGAAUAAGAUACCAGGAUAAGAUUAAUUAAUGAAACAAGAAGGGUAAGUCUGAAGAUUAACGGAUAAAAAGAGAAGGGAUCACUAAAGAGGAGUUCUUUCAAAAAAUGGAUUUAUCUGAUCGACGGUUGAGAUGCUUUGAAAGAAUAGAAAUAAUCUAACCCAACUAAAUAAUCAAACGUUAUAAUAAUAUGAAUGGUCUUGAGCGUUUAGCACAUUCCUUUCCUUUUGGGAGAAGAAGAGAAUGAGCCCCACGUGUUCCUUGCCCUUUUCUCCAAGAGAUUCCAAUCCUACAUUCUGCACUUUGUGCAGCCUAAGGUGGCUGAAGAAACGACCCAAAGACCUCCAACGCUAAAAUCGCCCAGUAAUGCUAAAAGGUAAAGCACAAAUCACUCAUGGACUUUCCUUUCAAUACACAGAGGUUGAAAUAUGAGUUUACCUGGUCAAUCUUGGCCACUCUCCACCGCCGAUAUUGGUGUCCAUGGAUGGAAGCUAACCUACUUCCACUACCCCUCUCUAGUUACACGGUACACCCUAAGCAUUCUUUUAAAGUCUUUGGUCACCCACCACCAAAACUCCACUCACACACUGUUCCAUCUUUUUGGUCAUCUACAUAUUUUGUGGAUUAAAUUAAACCCCUAAAAACAUAUAUACCACACAUUAAUAUGAUAAUCAGUAGAUAUUCAUUUGGAAAUGAUGUGAUGGAGAUGGGUCCAUGGGAGGUGUGAGUCACCCAAAAUUUCAAGCUUAUGAACUCAGUCCACCAUUGACCUCCAUCAUUUAAUAAAAGGGGAAGACCUGGCAAGUGGGCUGCAGGCUUUUUGUCAAGGUAAAAGUAAAACUCAAGACGCAGGGCAUGACAAGUGGAAGCCAUGAUCUAAUGCUUUCCUCCCCAGGGUCUGUGUUUUGUACGUGGACCAGUCAUAUCCCGCGCAGUUGGAAGAUGACCUUCCACCAAGACACUCUUUUGAUUCAUAAGGAAAAUGUAGGAGCGAGUCAAGGAGAGAGGGUAACCGGCUACCACCGGUCACCUCCAUUAUGCCCUCACCUAUAUAUUCUCCACCGUCUUCCUCCUUCCCUCCCGAUAAAACCAUUCACAGCUCUCAGCCAUGGCCCGCCAUAGCCCAGAACACGACAUCGGCUCCAACACCGGCUUUGGAACCUCCAAGAAGGUCGCAAGUGGCUUGCUCCACUCCGUAUCGACGCUUGUGGCUUCGUGCUCCAAGCAAGCCAGCCGAGUUUCCAGCAAGUUUCGUACAAAGGUGAGCCACUCGAAAAUCUCUCCGAAGUCGCCGUUGGCGCGGCCCAAGCAGCUGCUGACGAGUAUAAGCAACAAGGCGAUUCCUUUUCUGCAUAAGAAGAAAGGGGGCGAACAGUUAGACAGCAAAGAAGUUGCAGAGGAAGGGUUCGGAGACGGCGGCGUGUGGCAGAGGGCGAUCCUGAUGGGGGAUAAAUGCCAGCCGUUGGAUUUCUCUGGCGUAAUAUAUUACGAUAAUAAGGGGGAGCAGCUCCAGGAGCUGCCGCUCAGGUCGCCGCGUGCGAGUCCGCUGCCGAGUUACGCUUUUCGGAAGUGAAAGCAGCCGCGGGUGAGUUGGGUAGUAGUUCAACGUUCAAAUUUAAAAGGGGUAGUGGGAUUGGAGAAACAAAAUCGUAGGGCAUGUGAAUUUAUUUUCUCUUUACCUGCUUGGUUUCACAUGUAUGAUGUUGCAGCCUAGCUGGGAUGUUGGAAAGCGGUUUUUGUAGUUGUGAAAUGGAUUGGGCAUCAUGUAAGUAGGUUUUUAGCUUUGUUUAUUUCUUUUGGUUCCAAUUUACAAAGGGUUUGUAUUUCCGAUUUCUUUUUAUUUUCAUAAAAUAAAAUAAAAGGUAUUUACGCAUUUCAUCGAGUUUUUAGGUUUCUCAACCAUGUGUUAUUUAUCGGGAAUAAAAGGUAUUUAUGUAUCUCAUCGAGUUUUGGGGUUUCUUAACCAUGUGUUAUUUACUGGAUCAAAUUUGUUCGAUGUUUUUCUUGGCCAAGAAACCAACCUUGGUCCCAAGCCCUUCUAACAUUCACUGUCUUUUCAGGUUUGAUCUCAUCGGGGACCUUCCUUAACCUAGGAAACUUUGAGCCUUUGUUUUGUCUCACCCGGAACCCUUUGGACACUCACCGCCUCUUUAAGCUACACCCAACAGGGACCUUCCUUGGCCCAAGAACCCUUUAGGCUCUCUCUCUUCACCUCUAUAGGCUUCCGUCCGACAGGGGCACUCCUUGUACAGGACCCUUUAGACCCACAUGGUCUCUUUUUUAAGGACUAAAAACAUUUUUACAUUUUCUGAUGCUUGUAAGUAUUUUUUUAAUAAUAAUAAUAAUAAUAAGGGUUAUGCUAGGUACCGAAAAGUGCGUUAAAUCUAAUGGCUGAAAAAAAAUGGAGGCACGAUACCGAAUGAGGUAUCGUAGAAUUUUUCUAAUAAUAAUAAUAAUAAAGUGUUUAAUAAUUUUUAUUAACCACUUUUAAAAAAUUUGAAGAACUACUUGAAAAUGAUUCUUCUAAAUAUAAAAAAUAUGAAAAUCCAAAUGGCUACAAUGAAAAGCACUACAAACAAAAAGCAACAAUAGCGCUAAAAAACCAAACCAAAAGCACUUUAAUCAGAACUUGAAAGCUAGGAAAAUAAAAAAAAUAAAAAUUAGUGGACGAGGUCAGGGUGGAUCUUGGUCUGAUAAUCAUCUAAGACCCUUUCCGACAUUCAAAGGCGGUUAUAAAUAUAAUAUCAAUUCUCUUACAUUUCUAUGAUUCUUUCUUUUCAGUAUAAUAAAAAGAUAACCCUCAACGUACUUAAUUAGACUUGUCUUUUUGAUUUUUUGAUACAAGUUUACCUGGUCAAACUCAAUGCACAAAAUUUCAAUCAGCUAACCAUGAGAAUGAGACAUCCUAAGGAGAUCGUAAAGAAUAUAUCAUAAUGAUUUAGUGAUGAAAUUUCAAACUAACGACACGGGUGACGAAUUUGAAUGACAUUAGAAGAAGGAAAAGAAGGAAACCUCACUUGAAACAAGAGAUCUUGAUCAAUCAUCCUUCAUGCUUUCAAAAAUACACCAGUGAACCGAUCGAAUCAACACUCAGCCAACUUUCGUGCAAAAGUUCAAAAAAAUAGGGGAAAAAAGAAAGGGAAAUAGAAACGGCACUACAAGCAACAAAAUACUACUAAAAAUAGAAAAGAGAAAACCCGGUUCGGCGUAUUAGAUCCGGUUCAAAACCUUUCGGUUCAAGAUCCCUCAGGCUCCAGGAGCCGCGUCCUUCACCUUACUCUGCAAAUACCCACCAUACUCCCUAGCGUAGUCCUUUACGUGGCUGGCCGUGUCCGCGAUCCGGCUCCUGGCGUAGUCAAACCUGCCAGAACCGGGCGGGUUCCAACCCCUGAAGUACUUGUAUAUCCAAGACAGACCGGCCAGAACCGCCAGACCGAACCCGCACAUGGAUAAGAACCCAGCCGCAGCUAAGAAGAGAACUGUCCCGGCCGGAACCCAUAUGGGGCUGGAAAGGAGGAUCAAGGGGGUGAAGAAGAUGAGGCCAAUGACAGUGGCGGUGAUGGUGAGGCCGGUGAGGAAGAGCAAGAUGCAGCCGGAGACGAUGAGGGCCAAGAAGCCGAUGAAUUGAGUGGAGUUGGGGGCGUGGUCGUGGAGUCUACGUAGGAAUGCUGAACCGGGUGUGGGUCGAGGUGGACGUUGGGUUUGGCCUGAACCGGAGUGGCGGUCAGCCAUCGUUGAGCGACAGAGGGAGAGAUUGAAGAUAGAAAAGACGGAAGAUGGGUUAUAGAAGAAGCAGAAGGGUGGUGGUGUGGGGAUAGGCUGACACGUGUGGGAGGUGGAGACAUGCAAGGGCACACGUGGGAGAGGAUUGAGCACUCCGAGAUUUGUUGUGGCCCUUGUCCUUGUGGGGACUGGUGACUUUUUCUUUCUAUACGUUUGGUUUCUGAUCCCAUGCUUUGCACCUCUCUUUCUCCCCAUGCUCUCUCUCUUUCUACUCGUCCGAUUACUCAUCAAAUGUGAUUGAAGUAUAAAAGAUUAUGAAUACGCAAGGGACACAUUGCCCCUUGUGAAAAAUUAAAUUAAUCAAUAAAGUUGAUCCAUUCACCUCGUGUUACAAAGAAAAAAUAAGCUUUGGAUUGACCAAAUAUCAGUCUUCCCUUGAAAUAUUUUCUUUAUACAUGAGCAGGUGCAAAACAAAUGAAUCAAAUUAUACUUUAAACAAGAUGUGAUAAUUCAAUAUUGUAUCAAAACCCUAUUUAGAAAAAUGAAAAUUUCAAAUUAUAUUAAAAUUUGGAACUCUGAAUUAGUAAAGCCCAGCAUUGAGAAGUAAUUUAUAAAUAGGUAACAUCAAGAGAAAGAGGAAGAACGCAGAGGGGUCCAAACCCUGCUGUCACUAUGAAGAACAUUGGGCAGCAUAUUUGAAUGAUGCAACUCCUCUUUGUCCCCACUUUCAACCUUACCAUUGCCCAUGUCUGUCCCACUCAAAUCCCUGCAAUGACUGGCCUUUUUCAGACUCACUUCAUGUUUCUCGUCUCCCCCCAUAAGGGACCCAGCUCUGCUUGAUUGCAUGGCUGAAUUUUUCUUGUCAUCCAGGUCUCCAGUUGGUCUCAGCCAUGCUACUGUGUCGAUUGGAUUCCUUUCGAGAUCAAAGACGCUUUGAACUUCCUGAGAUUGGAUGCUAAACUGCACUCUUUUGAUCUUCCUAGAUGGGGUGAUGCCUACUAGUCCGGUGCUGUCAUUUUCCUUCCUUUGCAGUGGAACAUCUGACAUAGAUAACCUGCGAAUUAGGCCGCCUGCCUUGAAUGGAGAAUUUUCUCUAGAAGACCUCUCCGAUGAUGAAACAACUAAUCUUGGAUUAUCCUUUCGUCUUCCCCAUCUUCUUAUAUUAUGAAUCAAACCAUAUUUCUUGCUUAUGCUCCUCUCGCUGCUAGAAGAGCUGUCUAUUGUAGUUUUGUCAAUCGAGGAUGAGGAAGAAGAUUUGCUGUAAGAAUUAUGGUGUGGGAUUGGAGUAGGAGUCUUGUUGCCAUGAGAUUCUUGGCUUGAAUUCUUGCUGAGAAUCGGUGGGGUUAGGAAAUUUUGGCUUUCGAACCUCAAGCAAGCGUUGAGCGAGCGUUGGUACAUUAGCUCUUCGAUUAUGCCGAACCUGUUUUUCCGCAAUUUUUCUAUCUGUUUGGAUAAACUUUCGUUUGCAUGCCUAAACUUAUUCAUCUCCUCCUCCAGCUUAUCCUUCAUUUUAAUCCGAAAACAGCAACAGGGAAAAUCAGGCUAUACGAUACCAGCCAAUAUAUUCAUAACUGAAUCCGAAUAAAGACUAAAGAAAAUUUCAUAUAUACCUCUGUCAUAUUGGAUUGCGCAUUUGCUUUGUCUUCUGCAGCAACCAACAUAAUUUUCAGUCCUCCCGUUUCCAUUUCAAGCUCUUUGUUCCUCCUCUUCAUCUCCAUAGCUUUGAAUUCCACACUUCCGGUCUUCUUUUCAACAUUCUCAUGAUCUGUACUGGAUAUUCCUGUCUUCUCAAAACCGGAAACUUCUCGUGCUAGCGUUAGCAAUUUCUUCCUCGCCCAGUUCCUAUCUGUAGUCAUCUUCUUGUGCAGUUCUUUUAUUCUCUUCUUUGCAAUCUCUAGCUGCUUCUGUACCAACACACCCUCUUUGACUUCCUCUUGAAGUUUCUUCGUCUCUGCCCGCAACGAGUUCACGGUGAUGCUCAGAAAGUCGACCUCCUCCGUCUUGACCUUCAAGUGCUUCUGCAACUGAGCAAUAUAUGAACGCUGCUCUUUAAUACCAUACAUUUCUAGCAGUUUCCCUUCAAGGGUCCUUCUUUUUCUCUCCAUUUCCUUUACUGCGUUCUGUAGUAUCUCUAUUUCACCUGUAACAUCUUGUGGAUUUCCACUCUCUCUUCUUUUGGGUAAAUUCAAAUUUUGUUCCAUUUUUCUUCUGGUAGUACUCCCUUUAAUCUCUUCCUCUUCCUCAGCCUGGAAAUGCAAAUUUAUAUGAGCCACUUCUAUGUAUAUGAUCAGAGAGAAGGAAACUAAUAUAUAACAAAAAGAGAGAGCUGCUUGAUGGUACUGAAAAUUCAGAAUCCGCAGACUUCUCUUCCCCGUCUUCUUCAAUCUCUUCUUGUUGGAAGCUUGAGUCAUCAAUCUCUAAGUUCAUGAAACACCAUCAAAAUACGUUUAGAAAGAAACAAAAGAUUGAUUCUGCAGACAUUUUCCAAAGUACCUGCAGGUUUGAUUGGAGGGUUUCGCUUCCUGGAAGAUUGAAUAUUGAUUCUGGAAACUGCAAAAGCUGCAACUGAAGCUGCAGCCACAAAGCUAACCUUUACAAACAUAUACGUACAACUACGUAGUUGCAAGGAUUAAGUGAGUGAAAUUGUGGGGUGGGUCAAAAUAUUCUUAUCUGGUUCAUGAAUUUUAGGGAAGCAACUCGCAAUUGACGAUAAGUCUGAUCAUCAACCAGUGGUUGAUUUUUGUCUGCUCAGAGGUGUAUUUAUUGCCUUUGGAAGAACACUAAAAAGUCUCUUAAGAAAAACAAAAAGCUGUGUGUGGGCAUGGCUUCUCUAGCUUUCAACGCAUAAUCAUAUAUACAGGAUUUGCAAAUUCUUUUUGGUAAAUCAUUAGGAAAAUUUUUAAAUAUAAUAUAGUGUGUUCAAUUAUAAAAUAUUAUUACAUAGAUAAUUUUAAAUAAUUUUAUUAAAAUUUAUACUAAUUUUUUUUUAAAUUUUGCACAUGACAUGGUACUCAAAUCCAAACUAGGAUAUAUAUUUUUUUAAUAUGGAUGUAUUUUUAGCUCUUGGUUUUAAGUUGAGUUUUGUUUUUGAAAAAUUAUAUAUAUAAAUAGAAUGAAAAAAUAAGAGGAAAAGAAAAAUAUAGGACUUGUUUUGUUUUUUGGUAGUUAUUUUCAAAAACAAUUUUGAAAAAUAGGUUUUGAGAAUGAUUUUUGAAAAUUAUUCUUUAAUUUUCAUAAAAGUGUUUUAAUUUUAAUCAUUCUAUAUAUUUGUAUAAUUAUUUUUUAAAAUAGUUAUAAAAAAUAAGUGAAAAUAAAAACAAAACACACAAAAUAAUUGUUUUUUAUUGUCAAACGUGUUUUUUGUAUUUUUUAUUUUAGAAAACAAAAAUUACUCUAAAAAACAGUUUCCAAACAUACUUUAAUUUUUUUUAAUUAUUUUGUUUAUCAUGUGAAAAUUGAGAAAAGAGAAAUGGAAUAUAUUUCUCAAACAUUUUCUACACGAAAUGAGUGAAAUGUUUUUAUUUUUUUAUUUUUUACUUUUUACGUGUUUGAAAUAUCCAAACAUAUAAAAUAUCCAAACAUAUAAAAAUAAUAUUUUUUUUUUAAAUCACUUUUAUUUUUAAAUAAUUUUUGAAAAUAAAACCUAUUCCUAAUCUUUGUUUUGGCAGUGAAUAUAAAAAACAAAAUGUCACAAAUAUGGGACCCAUGAUUUGGCACAAUGAAACAAACCCCCCUUUCAUUUACAUGCCCUAAAUAUCUUACUUUUGUCUCCCAUUUUCUUCCCCCGUAGCUUUCUUCUUUUGUCUUGCACACUCUACACAAAAUAAAGAAGCAAGAGAUUGUUAGCAUAGUGGGAUUGUGUUUUAAAACAUAAUUGAAAAAGAAUAAAAAAGAAUUAUUGUUAUAAAAAUCAAAUUUUAUUAUCAAGAUUUUAAUUUAUUUCUUUUGCAUGAUAUACCAACACACAUCCAUUUUCAUCUUAUUUCCAUUCUUAUCUCUCUAUCAUUCAAUAUAUUUAAGUUUUUGACAUCAUUUUACGGUUAUUUUUCUAAGUUAAUUUUAAGAUUUUGAAUACCAAAUGUUUUUCCCGUGAUUCUUAUUUGUUAUUUUCACUCAUAUUUAUUUUUAUUUUAUAUGAAAAUUUGUUGAUAAAAAUGUAUUUCUAGCUUUAUGUGGAUAAUAGAUGAAUUUAAAAUAAUAAAGAAAGAUACUUAAAUAAUUUUUAAUUCUAUUAAAUAGAUAUCUAUAUAAAAUUUUAAAAUAUUUUUCUCAAAAGUUUCACCCCAAAAAUAGACUCCAAAACACAAAAUCCUUUGUCACGUUUCUUCUAUUUUCUUUCCUAUAAAUACAAUAUUGCAUUUUUAUUCAAUAGUAAGCAUAUUUGAAAAUGAUUUUGAUAAAACAAAAUUUUGGAAAUAUUCUUAAAAAUCUAAAAAUUCAUUUUUAAUAUUGAAAAAUCACUUGUACUAUUUUUUGAGAAAUACUUAAAGUGCGUUGAUAGUAAUUUUGAGAAGUGUUUUUAAUCUUUUUAAUAUUUAAAAAAUAUUAAAUUUAAGGUGUUAAAAAAACUAAAAACACUUUUCAAAAUCAUUAUCAAACACAAACUUAUAUAGAUGAUUCUCUUAAAAACACUUGUAGACAAAAUACUUUUAUUAAAAAUAUUUUGAAUAAAAAUAUUGUAAAGCACACUAUUCUUAUCAUAUGUUGCAAAUUGCACUUAGACUUACAUAUAUGAAUUUCUUCUUGAAUUUCAAAUAUUUAAAGUAGUAAACAUUAUUUGCUUCAUUAAUCACCAAUGUUGAAAUGACGGCAUUUGAUUAGUCAUACACAUGAUUUUCUUUCCAAAUUUCAAGCAUUUAUUAAGUAUUUAAAGACCUAGUAAAUUUGCCUCACUAAUCAACAUCAAUGAAAAAAUAUUAUAUUUAAUUAGACAAACAUAUAAUUUUCUUCUUAAAUUAGAUAGUUUUGCUACGAUUUAAUACUUAUUACUUAAUGAUUUAAGUUAACUUUAAGUUAAAAUAUGUUUAGUUGUUGACUUAAAACUUAUUAAUUUAUUAUUACUUUAAGUAUUACGAUGGUUUGAAAAAAUUAAUUUAAAAUUGAUUAUAAAUUAUUAGAUUAAUAUAUUUAUCUUCAUAAAUUAUAAUUAGAGCAAAGGGAUCGAAUAACAAUGAAGGUUGUAGAGCAACAAAAAAGAUCAUGAUAGUAACUAAGACAAAUUGAGAUAAAAAGAUAAAAUGAAGAUGUUGACUUAAAAAUAAGUUAAUUAUUUUUAUUUAUUAUUUAAAAUUAUUUUUAACCUUACGUUAUUUUACCAAAUAUACUUAAUUUAUUUAAUGAUUUAAAUUAAGUUAUUAAAUUACUUUUAAUUAUUAAGUUGAUUUACAAAACACUUAUCUAAAAAAAAUAAUUUUAUAUUUAAUAGUUAAUAUUUAUCUUUAAAAAAUAAAAUCAAAUAUUUUAAUAAGUGAAAAAUUAUAAGAAAAAGUCUUCUACAAUAUCACAAUAAUCCAUUAAUCCGCAAAGUCAAAGGCAAAAUGGGGAUAUUUCAUAUAGAUAAUUAUAAAAUCUCCAUAUCUAGCACACCAAAUUUGAUAUUUAUGUCACAAUAUUUUAUUUUAUUUUUCAUAAAUUAUAAUUCCUUUAUUAAAUUUUCUAAACGUUUUUUCAAAUGUUAAAUUAGGGAGUCACUAGACUCCCAUGCCGGUGAGACAAUCAGCCGCCAAGCAGAAGAUUUUGCCCAUUUCUCCGGCAUCGCUAUUUUCUUUCCCUGCACCUCUCAAUCAAUAUGAAACCCUAAUUUUUUUUUCUUUUUUCGAUGGAUUGGAUUUCAAUCCACUUUCUUCAUCAUCAUCACGACCACUGAAAACCUAGCUUUUCGUUCUACGCUCUAUGGAGGCGCGUCGAACCUCUCGAAUCCCCAUCGAUCCUAAAGUGCGCCAGGUAGGGUUUUUUGCCCCCGGUGCACUGCGGGAUCGCUCACAGUCUGGUCCCCUUGGGUUCUCGUC